GCUCCUGUAUAUGCAGGGUGGCUUGACUAUGGAAGACUGGAAGCCGGAGGCUAAGCUGAAGACCCUCUUCAAAACCCACGGACUCCAUUUGCCAACAGCCUGUGCACAGUACCAUCUUCCAAUGCAAUUUCUCGAGUCUUUGUCAUCUACAACUACGUAGAGCAAGAAGUCUCAAACUCGAAGAGUCUCGACCUUUUUCCAGUGAAGAAAAUGGACUGCUUUAGUACUGAACUUUCUCAAUGGAUUCAAGAGGAGCGCGAUCCUCGGUGCUUACACACCAGAGAGCGUUUGCCAGAUCUGAUGAGGCUGACAGCGACAUUGGUGAACGCUCGAUAAUCACGUCGAAGGGAAUGUUUAGAUGAAUAGUCAUCUUUAGACUCAUCUAAUCCUUUGACCAUGAGAAAGAGAAAGGCUCAACUGCUCCACAAUGUUACUCUUUUUCGAAUAGGUUAUUAGGAGAUCUUCCAUCAAAACUAAAUCUUUGAUAAUUGACGUUACGAUUGGUAGUAGUUAUAUGAGCUUCUCUACUUUAUAGUGGUAAUAGCGAAAAUGAACUGAGCCUUGCGCUUGAGUCCUGGAUUAUGAAAGAACUUAUAUUAAGAAAGAUCUAAUUUUCUAUCGGGUCAAAUUUUAAGAAAGUUUAGCUUCAUUCUAUAGAUGGAAAGCGUACUCAGGCAAAUUACCUGCGCUUAGGAUAUCAUUAGCCUUAGGUGAUCUUCGAUCCGAUCUGGGUCGUCCAUGCCAACAGCCUCUAAUCACGUCUUUCAGAAAUUGUGCAAAAAUCUUUAUUAACCCUUUUCGGAUUGGUACUGUUAAAUGGGACAUUGAGAAAAUUCAGGUUUCAAAACUAAAGAUCUCUUAUUCCAAUCUUAUCGAUUAUGUAUGAAACGGUCUAUAUCAAGGUCACCUAAACACACCUUCUUGGUCAAUUUAUGGUCUGACCAAAAAAAAAGAACCGAUUUAAGAGCUUGAAGGGUAUUUCCUGACUAGAAUUCAGGUAGAAAAGUCUCCACGCACGUGUUUCUCUGGAUUAUUAAAGAAAUUAAAUGAAAAAAUUAUAAUAUUGCGAUAAAGAUGAAAAUUUACAUCAAACAUUCGGAUGCAAAUAAGGGCGGACCAAAUUUUGAUCUCCACCGCUUAACGAAUCUGGUUGAAUUUCUUCGUUCUUUAGUCCUAAUGAACUGGUAGCUUGUCGGCAUUUCUUGCAUCGCAGCCGUUAAAUAAUGAGUACGAUGAUCCGCGUAGCACAAACCAACGGCUAAGAUUACAGAUCAAUAACCCAGGAACAGGAGCAGUAACAGGAAGUCAACAAGUCAACUCCACGUGAAGCUUCUGGAUCAUCAUCCGACUUUUUCACUUUUCAACUGCCUAUUACAGUAACACCACUUAUUAGAGGAGCAAAAUCACUUUAAAUGAUCAACCCGAGCGAUUUCGAGUUCACCCACAAGCUGGGAACAAUGUCAUCGAUCACAAGCCCGAGAAGGAGGUCGCCGUCCCCGCCAUCGCAUCAACAAGCUUCCUCAGCAUUUGAAAGAAGCCACCGAGAGAGGAGGCUCUUUGAAGCGUCGCUUGGCGGGUGCGUCGAGUCGUUAGCUCAGUUGCUGCAAGAAGACGGACUCAUCCUGGCUCGGGCUCCUGUCACUUGCUUCGAUGAGACUCCAUUGCAUGUGGCCUGUAUGCAAGGUCAUGUACAUUUUGCCAAGGUUCUUUUGGCUCAUAAAAGGGAUUUGGCUAUGGAGUUGGACUUGCAGGUAUGUCGAAGCGAAAACCUUGAUUGUGGUUGUCUGAUAUCCUUUUGUCAGAUCAAACUGAACCCGGUCAUCCUCACAAACCAGAUAAUCGGUGGAAUCGCAACUCUUUUGAUUAGGUUUUUGCAAGUUUUAGGCUUUUAGCCAUGUGUAAAGUAAUUUAUAAACUAUAUUUCCAUGGAAUAUCUCUACAUACAUUAGACUAUCUUGUUUGUCAAAUUAGAUUUUGCACAUGUAAUAUAGCAUUUUAUUUUCCAGUUUUCAUGAUCUUUGAGAAAUCAAACCCAUCAUAUAUCUCAAGGAAAUUAACAAAAUUCAGACAGAAAUCAAGUCAUAGAUUUCCAGGUUAAUUCAACCUGAAAGAUCUUACAGGCACCAGUGAAUUUGAGUAGCUUGGUCUAUUUGAUUUGAAAAUGCGAUAUAUAUAAAUCAUAUGAACAUGUCCCUCAAUAAGAAUGCUCCAUAGCUAAGCACUUCACUUUUGCAGGGACGUACGCCUCUUCACUGGGCAUCUGCGAACGGAUACGUCGAAAUAGUGAGGGAAUUGUUACAAUCAGACCCCCUUGCAUGCCUUGUCCAUGACGAAGAUGGGUGGACCCCACUUCAUCUAGCCAUGAUGAAGGGCCGAAGCAACAUCGUGAUAGAGCUGGUGAAGGCGAGACCGGAGGCGGUUGAGCACAGGUUGAGCCACGGCCAAACUGCUCUCCAUCUGGGAGUGAGUCAUAAUCGUUUGGAGGCUCUGAAAGUCCUAGUGGAGACGGUGAGAGAUGGUGAUUUGGUGAAAGCUCGGGAUGAUGAGGGUAAUACCAUUUUGCAUUUGGCUGCAUCAAACAAGCAAAUAGAGGUAAUCCUUUUUGCUUCGAAUUGCUUCGAAAUUGUGAUGACGUCAAAUAUCGCAUUCCAACUGAACAUUUUGUGCAGAUAAAAUCCGGCUCAUCCUCAUUUUUCUAUAGACUCAAGCUUUCUGCAUUCAAACUUCAGUGGAUUUAUCGAUUGAAGUAACUUACAGGAAAUAUCUUUCUUUGUUGUUUCUUUUAUAACUGAUAAGAAGCUCAUCUUUUUGUGCAGACGGUGAAAUAUUUGCUUCAAAGAAGCGAAGUGGAUGUGAACACAGUGAAUAGAAAUGGCUUCUCCGCUCUGGAUAUAAUGGAAUAUUUUCCCAAGGAUUUCAAAGUCAUUGAAUUGAGAGAACUGUUAGUACAUGCUGGAGCUCUGAGAGCCAUAAGAUUCCCUGCAUCGACGACUCACCAAGCAGUUGUUGAUAAAACAAAUGAGGAGAACUCAACUAUUACAGUUGACCUAGCAUCUGUAGCACCUCUCUCCAUCGAUACUCCUCCGGUAGAGGUGGUUCCACCACCGUCUUUAGUGGGUGAAAUCAGGAAGCGGAAGGAAGACAAACACAAGAUCGAGAAGAGAAGCGAUUCUCUAAUGGUAAUGCUUUAGCUAGAUCUCUUGGAGUAGCAUUUGCUGAUAACUUAGAUCAGAUCGAUCAUGUUAUUGCAAUUAACAUCAUAGCUCGCAGUUAAUUAAUUUAAACUCUCUGUUUGUUUCAUGAAAAAUGGAUGAUUCAUAAAAUAUUUUCUUAAAAAUGAUCGUUUGUAUCGCUUAAAAUAAAUAGUUAUGCUUUCUUAAAAAUGUUUUCUACAUAUGUACUAAACUGCUCAUAAUUAAAUAGCUAUGCGGAGAAAGAAGAUGAGUAGUUACAAUAAUAGAAGGCUUGUGAUUAAAAAGUAAAAAAUAGAGGGUAAUAUAAGAAAUCUAAUAGUGGGAAGAGAUGAAACAAGUUGAUGAAUAUCUAAGAAAGUAAUGGUACUUAAGAAAAUCUAAAAAUCUAAAUGUGAAGUAGUUGGGUGAUUUUCUUUAAAUAUCUAUACUAAUAAAUAAAGUAAAGAGGAUUUCUAAAAGACUCAAUCUUUUGUCUUCUCCAAAUAUUCUCAACAACUUAGGGCCUAUUUAGUAACCAUUUUGUUCCCGGAAAAUUUUUUUACCUAGAAAUGAUAUUUUUUUUUUAUUUUUUUUCCCUCGACGAGUUUUUGAGUAUUUGAAAGCGUUUGGUGCCUAUCCAAAAAUUUUAUUCUGUUUGGUAAGACCUUAAAUUCUUUUGCGAUUUAGAAUUUCCUUUAAUUUUUUAAUAAAUUUAUUAUAUUUUUCUCUUCUUCUUUUUUUUUUUCUUUUCUUCUUCUCCUUCUUCCUCUUUGGCCGGUUGCCGACGACCGGCCAAACGAGGGCCAACAACCUCGUCGGAACGUCGCUAACGGCUAGAAUAUAUGUGUGUUUUAUUUUCCACACGUUUAGUUAUUAGAUUUUGAUUUUCUUUCUAACAACAAUAGCAACCUUUAUAAAAAGACGUUCAAAUUUCAAAAUAUCUUCAUUUUUUUUCUCAUAUAUGUAUAUAUUCAUACACUUAGCUUUUUCAUGGUUUAAUCCAUGAGCUCUAUUUCUAUAGAGAGCUCGCCACAAUUUUCUAGUAUUUAGAUAUAUAUAUCCAUCAAUUGAAUUUGUGCAUUUGUGGGAAUGACUAACUUUGACUCGAUGAUCUUCAAAUGUAUAAAUAUAGUCGAAAAACUAUUUUUUCAUUCACAAUCUAGAUCUUUCUUUCACGUCCCAACAGGUAGCUGCCACCGUGAUCGCAGCCAUGGCUUACCAAGCCGGCCUUAACCCUCCGGGCGGCGUGUGGGACAGCGAUCAGAAAGACUCAAACGACAACAUCCAAUACUAUGCAGGAACAUCGAUAAUGGCUGUAAACUAUCCAGAUAGAUACCCGAAGUUCUGGAAAUACAACACCGUAUCUUUGCUUGCAUCCCUUAGCACGAUCUUCUUGCUCAUGAGUGGCUUGCCCAAGGGGAAGAAGGUUCUGACGUGGAUUCUGAUGGCCACAAUGUGGGUGACCAUCACUUUCAUGGCGCUGACUUACCUUGAGUCUAUGAUGGCCAUCCUGUCCGCGGCCGCGAGCCCGUACGAUGAUAGUGUGACGCAGCUGAACAUAGUGGUUAGGAACUUCAUGUAUGUUUGGAUCAGCAUUGUAGCCAUUGUUUUUCUAGUUCACACCAUUCGAUUCCUCGCAUUCGUCCUCCGGAAUGUGAAAUAUCUGCAAAAGCUCAAGAAGCAGAUAUCAAGGUGUGUGAGUUGGUGCAGAUCUAGGGUCAAUAUCAAGAUCUAGUGUAUUCACCUGGUGGGACAAAGGAUUACUGCAUAGUCUUGAUGCCUAUCUUCUUUCUAACUUAAUCUUCAUGUCAUGAGAUCAUUCUGAGUACCACAAGUUGUACGAACCAUUUAAUGAUACUACUACCAAACACAGAGUCCAUCUCGCAUCAUUCUCAAGCUCUCCUCAUCAGAGAUAGUCUUGCCCGAAUAGCCGAAUAUUUUAAAAGAGAAUGGGAAGGCGUGGCCACAAAGUUAUCUGAUCUACUCCUAUGUAUGCCGCAAAUUAGUAGGUAAAAGCAACAUUGGGCCAUUCCAUGAUUUGCCUCAUACAGCUUCACCACUCUCUUUCCAAUUCCACCAAACAACCGAACCCACCUACCUCAAAAGUAUCAACACUUCUUUUAUGCGUCCUUCAUAUUCUUCUCCAACGCUGAUAGAUGUCCAAAAGCCAUCUGAUUAAAGCUAGUGAGCCUCUCUGUCUGAUCAAUUUCAACCCCAUGGCACCAAACCAUGAUGCAGUCACACCAUUUACAUGAACUUCUUACACUAUCUUUCCCUGCCUACUUUUAAGGAAGUGAUGCACAGAUUUCACGGAAAACACUCCAGUAUUAUUCGCAGACCAUGCAAGCCGAUCCUACCUCAAAGGUCGGAAUCGAAGCAGUGCUAGUUUCAUAUGUAAUGUUCACAUACCAGAACGUGUGCUUCUUCCAAAACAACAUUCAAGCUCUGAUAUUAUGACUUCUUGCCAAAUGAUCUUUUCUUCUUUAUAUAGACAAGUAGAGGAGGGACAAGGCAGAAAUGCAGCCUAAAAUCUCAUGGACCGAUAUGCUGUUCCUAAUCACAAGACAAAGGAUUGGUAGCGUAUCAUCCCACACAAAACACAGAAAAUUAAUGUUCAUAUGCAAACUGAUUACAGGGGAUGGAAGAACAGAGAGAUGAAAACAAUUGCAUAGACAGAUCUUUUGUACCUUAGACUGGUGAUAAUCAGUCCAUAACAAAUGGGAAGGUAAGAGAGCUCUCAAAGGCAGGAGCCAGUACUUUCUAUCUGUCUUAGACAACCACAAUGUGUGGUUUCAAUCAGCAAGCCCACAACUAACGCAGCUCAUAAACUUCACUCAACCCAGCUUGGCAAACCAAGCUUCUUUCAAGAAGUUCGGUUUUGCACCCCCAACUUAAUGCAACCUGACAGUUUCGUUUGGGAGAAUAAUAUUGGGGUUGCGUAUGUGUGGGUUAAGAGCCGCCAAUUCCUUCCAUUUAGCACCAGUUCCAUGAACACGGGAUGAGAUGCUCCACAAUGUGUCACCAGGCUGUGCCUUAGUUGUUGCCGGGGCAGUAGAUUUAGAAGAAGCAGUCUUUGACUUCAGAAACGGAUGCUUAUUGCUCUUUCCCAUUCCAUUAGCAAGCAACCAACAGGAACCAGAUUGUUGCUGGUUUGAACUUCCCUGGACCUUUCUCUUCGCAGGAUCAGUCUUGAGACCAGCAACAUGGACUUCAGUAAUCUUACACUGGGGAAUUUAUCCCCAAAAAUUUGUGUGCAGAUGAUAAAGUUCUUGCUUACAAUCCCAGGACUCGAGGUGAACACACCAAACUCAAGUGGCCUCACAGCACUAGACAUUCUUGAGCAGAGUCCCAGAUGUUAUAGAUGAAACCAAAUAUUUGUUUUUAUGAGCUUUUUUGUCUUUUCUAUCAAAUUUGCUUUUAGGUUAAAAUUGAUACAUUUAUAUUAGCGAUGGGAAGACCCUAGCCAUCAAGAUGCUAGAAAAGGAAAUAGAGAGGCAAGAAAAAGAGAGAAGAAAAAAGUGAGUUUUUUUUUUUCUUGAUGGUGGUUCUCAAUCUCUUUGUGCCAUGAUCUUGAGAGAAGAUCAUCGUUCUAUUCCAACUUUUUUUGAAGUCUAGUGGAUUCGAAGAGUGCCACUGUGCGGAGAUGUAGCCCAGGUUUGGGUUAACUUCGAUAACAAAUUUUCUAGCUUGUUCAUCUAAUUCUGUUAUUUUAUUAUUAUAUUCUGCUUGGUGAAUUGUUUGCGAGUGUUAUUUUUCUGGAAUCGAAGUGUGAUUUCGUAACAACUGGUAUCAGAGCCUAGGUUGGCUAAUCGAGAACAUCGAUGGUUUUUUGGUGACGUUCGAUUGAAAGCAAACAGGAUGGCAGAAGAUAAAAUCAGAAUCGAUAAGUUCAAUGGGGAGGAUUUCGGAUGGUGAAAACUACAAAUAGAGGAUUAUCUUUAUCAAAAAGAUCUCUAUGCACCACUUGAGGGUUGGAAACCCGAGAUGGCGGAAGUGGAUCUGACAGCAGAAUCUGGAUGGAAAAUUCUUGAUCGAAAGGCAUUAGGUGCGAUUCGUCUAGGGUUGACGAAAAAGACAGGGUACCAUAUUGCGAAAGCAAAAACUGCAAAAGAAGCCAUGGAUAUUCUAACGAAUAUUUAUGAGANNNNNNNNNNNNNNNNNNNNNNNNNNNNNNNNNNNNNNNNNNNNNNNNNNNNNNNNNNNNNNNNNNNNNNNNNNNNNNNNNNNNNNNNNNNNNNNNNNNNUCAGGUAUUUUUGCUGAAGAAACUGGUUAAUAUGAAGUUAUCUGAUAGAGGUUCUGUGGCAGAGCAUAUUAAUAGUUUCACAAAGGUCACAGGUCAAUUGGAAUCCGCAGGCAUAAAUUUAGAUAUGAAGCUUCAAGCUUUAUUAUUUUUAUGUUCUCUUCCAGAAUGCUACAAUACCAUAGUGCAGGGAAUUUUGAGCACCAUGAAGGAUGAUUUAACUCUUGAUGAUGAUGUGAGUAGUAUCAUGGAUGAAGAGAUGCGAAGGAAAGUCUCAGGUGGAGAUAAUUUUUCUCCAUCUACAUCUUCAACGACACUCGCAGUAGAGAACCAUGGAAAAAGUAAAAGUAGAGAAAAUUUCAGCAGGCGUGGCAAAUCACAAUCAAGGGGUAAGAGACAUGUUGCAAAAGAUGAGUGUUGGUUUUGUCACAAAACCGGACACCGGAGGUUUCAGUGUGAAGCCUACAAAAAGAAGUAGCAAGAUGAGAAUCAAGGAGCGAAUGUGGUUAGCGAUGAAUCUUUGCUAGAUAACUUGUGUUUAUCUGCAGGAUUUGACUUGACAACAGAUAAAUGGUUUAUUGAUUCUGGUGCUUCUUUUCAUUGCACCUCGCAAAGAGACAUAUUUGAUGAUUAUGUCAGUGGAGAUUUUGGACAAGUGGUUGUGUGAAACGGCCACAUGUGCCUCAUUGUUGGGAGAGGAACCGUAACUAUGAACAUCUCAGGUGGAGGACAUCUAGUUUUGCGUGAAAUUAGGCAUAUUCCAGAAUUAAAGAAAAAUCUGAUUUCAACUAGUAAACUUGACCAAGAAGGUUUGGUAAUAACCUUUGGCUGCGGAGAGUGGAAGAUAACCUCGGGGGUAAGAGUAGUAGCAAAGGAAAAACGUACGGGUACAUUUUACCUUCUCCAAGGAGACAAUAUCAGUGAUAUGGUUGCAACUACAAUGGCUACAGGUAAUUUAUCUACUCUUUGGCAUUAUCGUUUGGGACAUCUUGGUGAAAAAGGUGUAAAGCAGCUACACUCGAGAAAAUUACUCCCAAGUUUGCAAAAAGUUGAGUUAGAUUUUUGUGAAAGUUGCAUUUAUGGAAAACAGAAAGCUGUUAGUUUUCAAUUGAAUGGGCGACAAAAUAAAGGCCGGAAGCUAGAGUUGGUUCAUACUGAUGUAUGGAGACCUGCUCAGGAACUCUCUUAUGGCGGUAAGAGAUAUUUUGUCACCUUCAUUGAUAAUGCAACAAGGAAGACUUGGGUUUAUGCUCUUAGAGAAAAAUCAGAAGUAUUCAGGAUGUUUAGAAUGUAGAAAACUACGGUAGAAGAAGAGACAGGUUAUCAAAUUAAAGCUCUAAAAUUUGAUAAUGGUGGUGAAUACACAAGUAAGGAAUUUGCAGAAUAUCUUAGUCGAGAAGGCAUACAUAGGUUAAAGAUUGUUCCUAGAACUCCUCAAGAGAACUAUGUAACUAAAAGAAUGAACAUGACUAUUCUAGAACGUGCGAGAUGCAUGAGACUACACGUGGGUCUCCCGCUACACUUAUGGGCUGCCACAGUUGAUGCAGCUGUUUAUCUUAUCAACAGAAGUCCAUCUAGUGCGUUGGAUGGAGAAAUACCACAAGAACGGUGGUCAGGUAAAAAAAUUAAUUAUUCACAUCUAAAGUUGUUUGGUUGUAUUGCAUAUGCUUUGAUUGACAGGAGGAUAGAAAAAAGCUUGAUGCUAAGUCCCAGAAGUGCGUCUUUAUCGGAUAUGGUGGUGACGAGUAUGGCUAUAGGGUUUAGGAUUAUGAGAAUAACAAAGUCAUCCACAGUCGCAAUGCGGUAUUCCAUGAAGAAAAGAUGUACAAAGAUCGUCAGACAGAGCAUGAGAAGGUAGUACAACCAGAAUAUGUUGAAUUAGACACAAUGCCCGUGAAGAUGUUUCAAGUAGAUCAAAGUGCACUUGAAAGAGAGGUUCAAGAUGAGCCUAUUAUUAGUGAAGAGUAGUUCAAGAGGAACGUAAUGAUUCGGAGCAAACUAACAACCCUGAAGUACCUGUCUUGAGGAAGUCUACACAUGUGAGAAAGCCAAAGGUAAUUUUUGAUCCAUCAGCUAAUACUGUUAUGAGCCAUGUCUUAUAUAUAGAUUCAGGAGAACCAGAGACUUACAAUGAGGCAAAGGCAAACACGUCUCACUUGCAGUGAGAGUGUGAUAUGAAAGACGAGAUGAGCUCGUUACUUCAGAACAAAACUUGGGAGUUGACCAAGUUGCCCACAGGUAAAAAAAAUUUAUUAAACAAAUGGGUGUACAGGAUUAAGAAUGAAGCAUAUUAUAGUAUUAGAUACAAGGCAAGGCUUGUAGUCAAGGGCUUUUCUCAAAAAGAAGGGAUCGACUACUCCGAGAUAUUUUCACCUGUAGUGAAAAUGACAUCAAUUAGAGUUUUGCUGAGUAUAGUUGCAGUGGAGGAUCUUCAUAUUGAGCAGUUAGACGUAAAAACGGCAUUUUUACACGGUGACUUAGAUGAAAAACUAUACAUGGCACAGCCUAAAGGUUUUGAAGUCAAAGGUAAGGAGCACAUGGUAUGUCGCUUGAAGAAAAGCUUGUAUGGCUUGAAACAAGCUCCGCGACAAUGGUACCUAUUGAUGGUUUCAUGAAUGAAAAAGGCUUUGCACACUGUGAAUCUUAUUAUUGUCUUUAUUUUCGCAAGUAUGAUGAUGGUGACAUUAUUUAUUUCUCUUUAUAUGUGGAUGACAUGCUAGUGGCUAGUUUCAAUAUGAAGAGAAUCGUAGAAGUGAAGAAUAUGUUAUCAUCACAGUUUGCUAUGAAAGACUUGGGAGAGGCCAAGAAUAUUUCAGGCAUGAAAAUCAUCAGGGAUAGGAAAAAUAAGAAAUUAUGGUUGUCGCAGGAAGACUAUAUGAACAAGGUGAUUUAACAUGGACAAGGCAAAAUCGGUUACAACUCAUCUAGCGAGUCACUUCAAACUUUCCAAGGAUAUGUGUCCAAGCACUCAGGCUUUGAAAGAUGAGAUGGCAGUAGUUCCAUAUGCAUCAGCAAUGGGGAGUUUGAUGUAUGCCAUGGUGAGCAUGAGACCAGACAUUGCACAUGCAGUGGGAGUUGUGAGUCGAUAUAUGCAAAACCCAGGCAGAGAGCAUUGGAAUGCAGUAAAAUGGAUAUUGUGAUAUCUAGUAGGUACUUCCAAUUACUCGAUUUGUUAUGGUAGUACAUCUCUAGAAUUGCAAGGUUAUGUAGAUGCAGAUCAUUCGGGUGAUUGAGAUAGUGGUAAGAUUACCAUUGGAUAUGUCUUUACAAUUGCAGGUACGGCAGUGAGUUGGGUAUCUCAACUACAAAAAGUAGUGGCUUUAUCGACAACAGAGGCGGAAUAUGUAGCGAUUAUAGAAGCCUCCAAGGAAAUCAUAUGGUUACAAGAUUACAUUUAGGAACUACAUCGAAAACAGUCAGUCAGUACACUAUGGAGUGAUAGUUAAAGUGCAAUGCACUUAGCAAAGAAUGUAGCUUAUCACUCAAGGACUAGACAUAUCAAGAAGCAUUAUCACUUUAUCAGGUCAGCAUUAAAAGAUAAUGAGUUAAAGCUACAGAAGAUUGAUGGCUCGAAGAAUCUAGCUGAUAUGAUGACUAAGGUAGUAGACAGAGAGAAGCAUAUUUUCUGUACUACUACCAUUGGUAUUACUCCAUGUUGAUUGAUGAGGAGUAUCGCAGAGGCACAAGUUUUUCAACUACUAUUUUUUGAAGAAGAUGGACACAAAGUUGCUUGGUGCUUGGGUAUAUUUGUCUUCAAGUGGGAGAUUGUUAUAGAUGAAGCCAAAUAUUUAUUUUUACGGGCUUUUUUGUCUUUUCUAUCAGAUUUGCUUUUAGGUUAAAAGUGAUACCUUUAUAUUAGCGAUGGCAAGACCCUAGCCAUCAAGACACUAAAAAAGGAAAUAGAGAGGCAAGAAAAAGAGAGAAGAAAAAAGUAAGUUUUUUUUCUUGAUGGGGGUUCUCAAUCUCUUUGUACCCUGAUCUUGAGAGAAGAUCAUCGUUGUAUUCCAACUUUUUUCGAAGUCUAGUGGAUUCACAGAGUGCCUCUGCGCGGAGACGUAGCCCAGGUUUGGGUGAACUUUGAUAACAAAUUUUCUGUCGUGUUCAUCUGAUUCUGUUAUUUUAUUAUUAUAUUAUGCUUGAUGAAUUGUUUGCAAGCGUUAUUUUUCUGGAAUCGAGGUACGAUUUCAUAACACCAGAGGCUUGAGAGUUCUUGAAAUUGAGACAUCCCUUCAAAGCUCGGGAGCUCAGGAUUCCACUAUGAACAAAAGAGUUGUUACAAAAAAGCUCUUCCUUGAUUCCACAAUGUAGAGACUCUGCUACACUUCAUCAAGGUCUCUCAAUGAUAUAAACUCUCUUUUGCGUACAAGAUUUCGCUCAACAAUUUAAUUGACAAAAAACAAGGAGCUUCAGACUUUGGAAUUCUUCUAUCGUGCUCGAACAACUGGAAUGUCUUCCUUAUAUACUCCUUUAUGCCAUCAUACCCGUUGGCACUUACCAAAGGAAUUCUUCCAAUCUACCCGUUGGACAGAAUCAAUUAGUAAAAUCUUCGAGCUAUUAAGCAACAUGGCGAUAACACAUCAAUCAUGCUCUCCAUCAUNNNNNNNNNNNNNNNNNNNNNNNNNNNNNNNNNNNNNNNNNNNNNNNNNNNNNNNNNNNNNNNNNNNNNNNNNNNNNNNNNNNNNNNNNNNNNNNNNNNNUUUUUAUGGUGACAAAACUUUCCUGCAGAUUUGGAUAACUUGACCUGCAAAACAUUACUCAAGCAAAUAUGAAUAUCUCACAAGAUAAAUGGCUUAGUAAAAAUAACACUAGAAUCCACAUCCACAGAAAGUAGGUUAGUCUUGUAAAUGAACAAAGCCAUGAGAUAUCAAUAGUACUUAAGAUAAACAAAUGUUCAAACAAUCAAAUCCAAAUCCAAUUCAAGUCCAAAUAGCCAAACAGAAAGGUCAAGUCAAUCAAACAUAAUCGACACAAAAGUUCAAAAGUUUUAAAGUUCAAAGUUCAAAUCAAAUCUGCACCACAUCUCUCCCCCUUUUUGUCAUCAUUAAAAAGGUAAAGAUGAAAAGAGAACGGAAUUAAGAUUGCUUGGGAACACGAACAAGCUAGAAAUCUCCCAUUGACUGGACAAUCCCUUCCAGCUUUUUCAAAUCCUCCUUCAAUUACGCCACAUCUUCACCCUUGGCAUUUGCUUGAAUUUGAAGAGCAAGGGCAUGAAUUUGAUCAUGCAAAGAAAUUGAAGAGGUUUGACUUGCAUUUUGCAAGUUCUGUACUUCGCAUCCCAGAGCAUAAAUCUGGCCUCUCAUCUCUAAAAGAACAUCAAGAAUUCUACGAAAGUCUGACGAAUUGUCUGUCUAAGCACUUGCUUCUGCACGAUUAGACGGAGUAUUGACAAAUGAUGGCAUUUCAGCACGAUCACGUAGAUUGGGCAAUGAAACCUCGUGUCCUUCUUCAGGAAAUUGAGUGGCAUAGAUGUCCUCUGGAUCUACUGGAGAACGACUUACUCCUUCACUAGUGGCAGGGAAUGAGGACGUUCCUCUUUUCUCAGGAUCUCCCCCUGUUUCCAUGCCUUCAGGUGGAGAAAAGUGUUCCUCAUGCUCUGCUUCCGCUUGAUCUCCUCUCUCUUCUUCUUCUUCUUCUUCUUCCUCAAUUCUUUCCUCCUCUGCAUCUCUCUCCUUUGCUUCUUUCUCCAAAUCUUCUCUCUCUCUCCAGUCCUCUGUUCUGUUUCAUCCAUGUCUUUGUCUCGUCUCUCCGUUGAUUUUGGAACAGAAUGACUCAAGUUUUUCAAUGCCAUUGCAGAAAUGGUGAUAUCAUCCUCAUCCUCUUCAUCUUCAAUGAUGAGUGCUCUUCUUUUCUUGGAUGGAGCAACCGUGGGCUCCUUCCCUUUUUGCUUUGCCACCGAAGAGACUGAAUGAGUCUUGACAGGGGUUUUCUCCUUGAACUAUUCCAUAGCCUUGGUAAGUUCCUUCAGAUGCAUUUUUGAGACCAUUCUUAGUCCCACCAUCAUUUGAUCGCACGUUCAAACACAAAGAAUCCAGGGAAGCUAAACGUUCAAAUGUCUGAAUAACUUGGUCACAAGAGCUAGAUAAGGAAGUUGACCCUUGUCCUUCACCAUUGCCCUGUACAUGUGGAACAUAAUAGUGUGUGGAAGAGAGAAUUUCUUACUAGCAUUGAUGGCGUACAUCAACUUUGUUCCGAGUUUGAAACGUCGAUCUUUGAGGUUGAUUUUGUUCUAAGACAGUUAAUCACUAUCUUGUGAAGCAAAAUGUUGGACGCAUUCAUUCUCACAUAAGAAAUCUUUCCUUCCAUCCUUCUAUCCCGAACAAGCUCCAAUGUUGCACGAGCAAUAGACACAUUGAUAGGUUGAUAUCUCCCUCUGUCAACCCCAGUCACAUCAGCCAACGUAUUCAUGUCAACCACAUAGUCCUGAUCUCGAACACUAAAAGAGAAUCUAUUCGCAUCCAAGAAACUGAGAUUCGAAUAAAAAUAAGCAGCAAGUUCAGCAUAAGCUUCUGUAGAUUCAGAACAAAACUGUUCGAGUUGAAGAAGACUGAAUUUUUCCCUCGAAUUGACAUUCACAGAGUCAAGAAAGUCAAAGUCCACGCUUCUAGGGUUUAUUACCCCACGCUUCAGUAAUUUAGAGUACAGUUGCUUGUGUUCCUCCGAUUGAAAUAAAUCCAUCCUUUUGCUUCGGAUUUUCGCUGCAACACCCAUUCUAGGUUUAAACUGACUGUACAACUUGUCAUCAUCGUUCCCAUCUGGUUGAUUAAACCCUCCAACCCGUGAAUCACUUGGGAUAUUCGCCAAGGCUUCUUCCGCCGACCCCGCAUGGGCAAUUCCCAAACGUUCCAUGGUGCGUAAGAAGAAAGUUUCAUUUCUAUAACUUUUGUCCUUAAGAAACUCAUCAAUGUAGUUCAGUGGAGUAUCGCUCCUCUUCAAAGCACGGUAAAGCUUAUAAGUAAAAGAGGGCCUAUGAGUUCUUACGGGUUCUACGUCUUCGAUGAUUUCUUCCUCUUCUCGAUAUGCAACAUCCUGAAGUCUAAAUGGAGGAGAUGGACCCUGCUGAGAAUGUUGUGGGCUCUAUUGUUGUCUAGGAGAUUCUUCUUCUUCGGUGAGAUCAAAGUGCGUAGGCCCCUCACGCAUUUGCUGUGGUCCCCUGUUCGCUAUCCUUGAAGACUUUCUUUGGGACAACAUCUUUCACAGUCUUUGAGAGAUUCCAAGCUUGUUUCCCAAGAAAGAUGAAUUUUUUUUUCGAGGAUUAAACAAGAGAAUAAGACAGAAGUGGGAGAUCGGUGCUCUCUUAGGGUUUUUGUGAAUAAAACGAAGAGGAACCGACAGUAUAUAAGGCAGUCAAAGCGAGGCAUACAAAAAGUCAUAAAAAAGGAAAUAUAAAAAUAUCUUUUAAAAAAUAACUGCCUUUUAGAUAACUGUCAUUUCAAAAAAUAACUUCUUUUCCGAAAAUGUAGGUUUCCAAUAAUCACGGAAAUUGAAAAUAGCAACAAUCAAUUACGGAUGGAUGAUCGUACCUUUUCGAGAUUUGAUCCGAGAAAUAAAUUUCUAAAAUAGAAAUAACUUACAGUCAUAGAUCUUGAUUGUUCGAGACUGAGAGCCUUUAGACUUUCAGUGCUGAGUCUGAACUUCCUCAGACUUUAAGAUAUUGAGUCUGGAACGAAUAACUUCAAAUUGAUUUUUCUCCAAAGGCUUUGUAAAUAUAUCCGCUAGUUGAUUCUUUGAAUCAAUAAACUGUAUCGAAACUUCUCCAUUUUGAACAUGAUCUCUAAUGAAAUGAUGUUGAAUCUCUAUAUGUUUUGCUCCGGAGUGAAGAAUCGGAUUCUUGGUGAGAUUGAUUGCGCUGGUGUUGUCACAUUUGAUCUCAGUACAUGAAUCUUCAAUUCCAAAGUCUCUCAUCUAUUGUUUUAUCUACAGAAUUUGUGAACAACAACUUCCAAGAGCUACAUACUCUGCUUCUGCCAUAGAAAGAGCUACUGUACUUUGCUUACUUGAAAACCAAGAUACUAUCCUACUUCCAAGUAGUUAACAGGUGCCCGAGGUGCUCUUUCUAUCAACUCUGCAUCCGGCUAGGUCUGCGUCUGAGUAUCCAAGAAGAGUAAAAUCUCCUUCUUUAGGAUACCAGAGACCCAAGUUUGAAGUUGAGGCAAUGUAUUUGAUAAUACGCUUUGCAGCACUUAGAUGAUAUUCUUUAGGGUCUGAUUGAAAUCUGGCACAAAUGCAAACACUAAACAAAAUGUCAGGUCUAGAAGCAGUAAGAUAAAGAAGUGAACCAAUGAUACUCUUGUAUAGCUUCUGGUCAACCUUCUUUCCUCCUUCAUCUUUGUCCAACUUCAAGGAACUUGACAUUGGUAUAUCAGUCUUUUUGCAAUUCUCCAGCCCAAACUUUUUGACAAGAUCGUUGGCAUAUUUUUCUUGAUGAAUAAAAGCUCAUUCCUUUAGUUGUUUCACUUGAAGCCCAAGAAAGAAGGUUAGUUCACCCAUCAUGCUCAUUUCAAAUUCAUCCUGCAUAGACUUAGAGAAUUUCUUGCAUAGACUUUCAUUAGAAGAUCCAAAAAUAAUAUCAUCAACAUAAAUUUGAACAAGUAGAAAACUUUUGCUUUCUCUUUUGAUAAACAAUGUAGUAUCUAUUUUACCUUUGAUAAAGCCAUUUUGAAUUAAAAACUUACUUAGUAUGUCGUACCAAGCUCGAGGUGCUUGCUUUAAACCAUAUAGAGCCUUUUCCAAUCUGAAUGCAGAGUCUGGUUUCCUUAGGUCUUCAAAACUGGGUGGUUGUUCCACAUAGACUUCCUCUUGGAUAAAUCCAUUUAUGAAAGCACUUUUGUGGCACCCCGAAUCCCUCUUAGGUCGCCACAGGCACCAAACGUUACAUCUGAUUACAUCUCUUAGAAGAAGCGUCGUAAUAAAUAGACUUUUUUUUUUUAAACGGUCCUAGCGCGACUCACAUAGUGGAAGCAAGAUUUAGCAUCACCAUCUCCCCCUCCAUCAACCAUGAUACAAUUGCACACCACUAAUUAUCAUAAUAAAAGACAAAGCCAUGACACUUUAUUUACAUAUUUUCAAGAUGGGUUUCCUUGGGUUAGUACAUCAAAAGAAAGGCCAAGACAUAAAGCCACACUCGGCCUAAACACCAAAAAGAAACACUCGACCCACUAUGACUAACGUGCAAGAUCCCCCAUAGUGUCGGCUAACCAUCCCAAAAAGUUUCAGCUCCUACUCGUCACGUACGGACCCUCACACCCAUCCCGGUGCAUCAGGCAGUGGCGGCGGUAACAUCCCACGCAUCGCUCCGUCUCGGCGAACAUGGAUGGAUAUGAACUCCUGGAUAACAGGGCCCUCAGCCAGGCCCACAUCGUACAUAACUAAACAACGCACUCGAAUAUACGUCAGUCCAGGAACGAAGGGACAGUCAAACUCCUCGCACUCGACCUCUACUUCGGAAGGUAGGCCGUAAAAUAUGCCCCUCAUGACAGUAGGGAGCAGCAUCCUACUAAUCUGAAAUGUUGGUCCCCAAAGGGGUGAGUACAGCCACUCAGCAGGUAAAAGAUCCGAUAACCACUCAAAGCAUCAUACAAUACAAUCAUAGCAUAAUACAUGUCAUACAUGCAUUCCAGGCAUUACUUACCUUGAAGCCAUGCAUAUACCAUCAUACAUUUUUAUCACAAUCAUAACACAUACAUGCCAUCAUGCCAUAGGUUAUCAUCAUCAUGUCAUACACAUGUAUCAUCAUUAUGUCAUAGACAUAUCAUCAUCAUCAUAUCAUAUAUACAUAUCAUCAUGCCAUAAGUGAUCAUCAUCAUAUCAUAUCAUAUAUGCAUGAUUCAAUUUCCACUUUUAACUUUCACUUCGAUCACCACAUCACUCUUACUCGGGAUCAUCAAUUUCAUUCCACACUUUACACUCGCAUCCCAUCCUGGCAUCGCGAGAAAAACCUCUGGCAUUCAGCCAUUUAAGGCCACUGGGCAUCCGGCACCCCCACAUCCCGGGCAUCUCGCAUCCCAACUGGCAUCACGAGGCAUCCCCUCGGGCAAAGACCUUCGAGGCUUCCGGCACCCAACCAUUAUGGGCAUCUCGAAACUCCCGAGGCCAUCCGGCAAUGUAUCUCUAUACAUUCCGGGCAUCCGGCACCCCCCAUCCCGAGCAUCCUGAUACUCCCAGGGCAUUAUCAUCUGCCAAAAACAGUUUCCUCAUUUAUCAUUCACGUUCAUCAAUUUAGGCCUCAAUUCAGCAUGGCACAUGAUAAAUGGCAAACAAAAUCACUUUCAUCCUUCGAUCUAUACAUGCAUUAUCAGUCAUCAUCAUACAUGCAGCAAGGUACAAUCAUUCAUAAAAAUAAAAUUUAUGGAAUUCGUACAAUUUAAAAUAGUCCAUUUAUCAUGCCCUUUUUGAAAUUUAUUUAAAUUCCAGCUUGUACCAUUUUCGAAAAUAUUUAAAUUAAAUAUCAAUAUGAUUCUCAAAAAUCAUGAAAUUAAGGCAAGUGAUAUACAAGACAAUAGGAUAAUGAUUUCAUGAAAUACACAUGGCCAAUAGAAUUCCACACAAAAUUAUAAUUCACACAAAUACAGCAUGUAAUUUCGGAUAAAAACAGAAUGCACAGUUUCCGAAAUAAUUUGAUUAAAAUAUCCAAACGACCUCCAAAUAUUAUGAAAUUUUACCAGGUUAUAGCCAAGACACUAAAUUAGAUUUUUAAUGCAGACUUUUAAGCCAAAUUAGUUUUAGAUUAUUUUCUACAGUCACACGAAACUUCUGGAUCUAGCACCGAAACGUCCAGUGUAUGUUUCUUUAAAAUACUGAGUUUUCACCCACCUAUUCUUCUUAGUUUCCUCUGAAAUUUGGAUAUGUUUUACUUCAAGAUGUCUCUUACAACUUUCAUGAAGAGAUCUAAGUCAAAAUGCCAGAAUAUAGUCAUCAUACGGGUCCAUGAAGUCUCGGGUAUCCUGUACCGCGUCUCCAGAUCUACGGUUUUCAAGAGUAAGUUGAUUCACCAAGAUACACUCGUUAAUUUUACAUCAAAUUUGAGUAUGUUAAACUUCAAGAUGUUCUAUACAACUUUCAUGAAGAAGUCGAAAAGAGAUUCUUAGUAAAAAUCAACAUGCAACCACGAAUCCACCGAAAGGUCAGUGAAAUCGUUCCAGAUCUGGUGUCUCCGUAGGAUGAGAGUUUGACCCCUCAAAUGUCCAUCAUUUUGUACCAAAUAUUAGUAUGUUGUAGCUUAAUAUGUUGGCUACAACUUUCAUGAAGAAAUAAAAGUCAAAAUCGAACUCAAAACAUGCAUGCAAGCUCUCACAAGAUUCUGGCUCAGGCGGAUCUCACGAAAACAGCAACAUCACUCAAGAGCAAGUCAUUCUAGCUUCGGUUUCUCCCUCCUAAUCACCCAAACUUCGACACUACUCCAAACAUACAUGCAACACACACAUGCAAGAGUAGAAAACGGAUCCCAACUUGCCUCUAAACCGAGCUAGCGACGAGCACACGGCGGCAAACGAGCAGCAAACGGGCGGCGACGGGCGGACGGACGGCGAGCUCCUUCCUCUCGGCUUCUCCUCUCUCGGCCUCACUCUCUCUCUCUCUCUCACUUGGCCGAAUAGCCAACCGGCCACUCUCUCUCUCCUUCCCUUUUUAUUUCCCCAAAUCCUCAUCAUUAGCUUGCCUCUCCAAUGGCCAAUGCAUGCCACCUUCCUUUGUGCCACUUGUCAUGACACAUGCAAUGGGCUUUUGGGCUUGGGCUUGGGGCAUUUGGGCCAGCAAUGGGCCGGCCACUCCUCCCCCUUUCAUGGUCGACGGCAGCCCUACUUGUGGGCUUCAAUGGGCCGGCCAACUUGGCCCAUUAAAGGUCCACUCUUGGGCCUAAGGCCCAACCUAAAUAAAAAUCAAAUUUUCCCCUUUCUUAUUCUUCCUUUAAGAAUUUAGUUACUAAAUUACACAUGGCCAAAGAUCUUGUGACAUUUUAUUUAUAGGAAUCUAAUCUAUGAGGUGCAUAGCCAAGCAUAGAUUAUUAUCAUUAAUUUAUCCCAUAGUCCUAAUUUCAAAAAUUCAUGAACACAAGCAUAUAUUACUUAGCCUUAAGAGAAAACUAAUGGCUAAAGCAUAAACCAUAGGUAAUUUCAUUACCUAAUUAUGGGCUUUAAUUCCUCUAGAGGUUGUCUUGAAUUUUGGGAUGCCACAACUUUUGACGUCCAUUUGGAAUAACCUGAAAUUCUUAUGACAAGCAAAAGCAAGUAAUAAUCUAAUUGCUUAUAACCUUGCUACUGGCGUGUAAGUCUCAUCAUAGUCUAUCCCUUCUUCUUGCACAUAUCCCUUGGCCACGAGUCUUGCUUUGUUUCUUACGACCUUUCCUUUCUCGUUCAUCUUGUUCCUGAAAACCAAUUUAGCUCCAAUGAUAGAUUUACCUUUCGGUUUAGGAGUCAAUUCCCAAACAUCAUUAAUGCUGAAUUGCCUGAGUUCUUCUUGCAUAGCUUCAAUCUAGCUUUCAUCAGUUAAAGCUUCUUCUAUGCUUUUAGGUUCUAUUUCAGAAAUAAGAGCCACAGCAUUAGACUCUUCGCGCCUUUUGGAUCUUGUUCGAAUUCCUUCAUUAAUGUCACCAAUAAUGAGAUCUUUGGGAUGACUGGACUUAUGCUUCCAGUUGCUACUUGAUUUGUCAAACUGUUGAUCAUUUUUCUCAUUUGAAUCUUCGACAAUCAUUUGUUGCUGGUCUUCUGAAGUCUGAGCUGCUUCUGGAGAUUUAGACUUUUUAAAAUCUGGAGCAGGUUCAGACUCUUCAAGUUGAGUCUAAAUCGAUCAUUUUGCAUAGAGUCUUGAAAUUUGACAUUCAUUGAUUCCUCCACAGAUUGAGUCUUUUUGUUGUAUACUCUGUAAGCUUUGCUUGUGGUUGAAUAUCCAAGGAAGAUGCCUUCGUCUGAUUUUUCUUCAAACUUGCUAACUCGAUCAUUUGCAUUUUUCAAUAUAAAACAUUUACAUCCAAAUACAUGAAAAUAUGAAACAAUGGGCUUCUUUCCUUUGAAUAACUCAUAGGGAGUUUUCUCCAGAAUAGGCCUUAGAAAAACUCUAUUAAUAAUAUAACAUGUUGUAGAAACUGCUUCAGCCCAAAAACGUGAAGAGAUGUUACUUUCAAUUAAAAGAGUUCUAGACAUUUCCUGAAGCGAUCUAUUCUUUCUUUCCACGAGUCCACUUUGCUCUGGAGUAUAUGGAGAAGAGAACACAUGCUGAAAACCAGAUUCAUCACAGAAUUUUGUAAAAUCUUGAUUUUCAAAUUAGCCUCCAUGGUCUAUCCGUAUACUUGAAAUAACAUACCCUUUCUCAUUUUGGACCUUUUUAGCAAACUUUUUAAAGUAUGAAAAGGUUUCAAACUUACUUACCAGGAAAAAUACCCAAGUGAAUCGUGAGUAUCCACAAUUACUAGGCAAUAUUUCUUACCUCCAAUGCUCUGUGUUCUGGUUGGUUCAAAGAGAUCCAUAUGCAGAAGCUGCAGUACACGAUUAAUGGAAACUUGAUUUAUUGGUUUGAAUGAGUUUCUUACAUGUUUUCCCAACACGCAUGAUGUGCAUAGAUCAGACUUUUGGUAUGACAGAUUGGGUAGACCAUGAACAAGCUUCUUACCUAUUUUCCCAACACGCAUGGUGUCGUGUUGUGUCGCAUAUCGCGUGUCAAUAUCAAUGCUACUUAGCUUAAAGCAAGUACAUCACAUUCAAUUUUAGUGGGAAAAAAAAAACUCCAGUCCACGUGGCAUAUCUAUGUGACAGUUUGACAUUGAAAUGAUUACUUUUAAUAAAUUUUGACACUCAAAUAAUCACUUUAAAUAAAAUUUGGCACUUAAAUCAUCACUAUUUACAACAUUUUGACGGCGUCAUUUGGGGGUUAUAUACUGACUAGGCAUGCCAACGAACCACGUAGAACUGAGAAAUUAAUAAAAUAUGACAACGUCGGAUUUCCAACAAUCCAGACUGGAGUUAGCACUUAAAUGAUCGUCUUUUUUAGAAAGUGGCACCUAAGUAAUCCGAAAAAAAAAAAUGGCACUGAAGUGAGCGUCGUACAUAACUUUUGGGAUUUUUAGUGUACUUAUUCCCGUGUUUGUAUCACCGCUCUGCUCUUUCCAAUAUGUAAAUUCUUACAUAAGACUCAUGUUUUAGCAUCUUAUAUAUAGUUAACAAUCUCAACCUUUGACAUUCCAACUCCAAGAUAAGUCUAGUGAAAGGAAACGAGAGAUCGUGUACCUCAUGAGAGGAGCAGAAUCACUUCAACCGAUUAACCUGAGCGAUUUCGAGUUCACCCACAAGCUGGGAACAAUGCCAUCGAUUGCAAGCCCGAGAAGAAGGUCGCUAUCCCUGCCAUCACAUCAACAAGCUUCCUUAGCAUUUGAAAGAAGACACCACGAAAGGAGGCUCUAUGAAGCGUCGAUUGGCGGGUGCACCGAGUCGUUAGCUCAGUUGCUGCAAGAAGAUCGACUCAUCCUGGCUCGGGCUUCAGUCACUUGCUUUGAUGAGACACCAUUGCAUGUGGCCUGCAUGCUCGGUCAUGUACAAUUUGCCAAGGCUCUUUUGGCUCAUAAAAAGGAUUUGACUAUGGGGUUGGAUUCGCAGGUAUGUCAAAGCGAAAACCUUGGUUGUGUUUGUUUGAUAUCCUUUUGUCAGAUCAAACUGCACCCAGUCAUCCUCGCGAACCAGAUAAUCGAUGGAACGGCAACUUUUUUUAUUCAGUUUUUGCAAGCUCUAGGCUUUUAGCCAUGUGCAACAUAAUUUAUUGACUAUAGUUCGAUGGAAUAUCUCUACAUAGCUUAGACAAUCUUGCUUGUCAAAUAAGAUUUUGUACAUGUACUAUCGCAUUUUGUUUUCCUGUUUCCAUGAUCCGUGAGAAAUCAAACCCAUCAUAAAUGUCCAGGAAAUUAACAAAAUUCAAACAAAAAUCAAGUCAUAGAUUUCCAGGUUAAUCUUACAGAUGCCGGUGAAUUUGAAUUUGAAUAGCUCGAUUUGACAUAUAUAUAAUACAAUAUAUAAUAUAUAAUGUGAAUGUCUCCCUCAAUAAGAAUGCUCCUAGCUAAGCACCUUUCUUUCGCAGGGACGUACGCCUCUUCACUUGGCGUCUGCGAACGGAUACGUAGAAAUAGUGAGGGAAUUGUUACAAUCGGACCCUCUUGCAUGCCUUGUCCAUGACGAAGAUGGGAAGACCCCACUUCAUCUGGCCAUGAUGAGGGGCCGAAUUAACAUCGUGAUAGAGCUGGUCAAGAUGAGACCAGAGGCGGUCGAGUACAGGCUGAGCCACGGCGAAACUGCUCUCCAUCUGGGAGUGAAGCAUAAUCGUUUGGAGACUCUGAAAGUUCUGGUGGAGAUGGUGACAGAUGGGGAUUUGGUGAAUGCUCAAGAUGAUGAAGGUAAUACCUUUUUACCUUUGGCCGUUGCAAACAAGCAAAUUGAGGUAAUCCUUUUUGUUUUGAAUUGCUUCAAAAUUGCAAUGACAUCAAAUAUCGCAUUCCAAUUGAACAUUUUCUAAAGAUAAAAUUUGGCUUAUUCUCAUUUUUCUAUAGACUCAAGCUUUCUAUAUUCAAACUUCAGUGGAUAUAUCGAUUGAAGAAACUGACAGGAAAUAUCUUUGUUUCUUGUUUCUUUUAUAAUUGAUAAGAAGAUCAUCUUUUUGUGCAGACGGUGAAAUAUCUGCUUCAAAGAAGAGAAGUGGAUGCCAACACAGCGAAUAGAAAUGGCUUCUCUACUCUGGAUAUAGUGGAACAUUUUCCAAAGAAUUUCAAAGUCAUUGAAUUGAGAGAACUUUUAGUACAUGCUGGAGCUCUAAGAGCCAUAAGAUUCCCUGCAUCGACAACUCACCAAGCAAAUGUUGAUAACACAAAUGAGGUGAAUUCAACUGUUGUAGUUCACCUAGCAUCUGUAGCUCCUCCGCCCACCAAUACUCCUCCGGGAGAGGCGGUUUCGCCACCAUCUUUCUCAGGUAAAAUCAAGAAGCAGAAGGGAGACAAACAUGAGAAAUGGAUCAAGAAGAAGCACGAUUCUAUGAUGGUAAUGAUUUAGCUAGAUGUCUUGGAGUAGCAUUUGCUGAAAACUAAGAUCAGAUCGGUCAUGUUAUUACAAUUAACGUCAUAACUCACAGCUAGUUAAUUUAAACUCUCUAUUUGUUUCAUGAAAAUGGAUGAUUCAGAAAAUAUUUUUGUAAAAAUGAUCGUUUGUGUCAUUGAAAAUAAAUAGUUAUGCUUUCUUAAAAAUGUUUUCUACAUAUCUACUAAAUUUCUCAUAAUUAAAUAGCUAUGUACAGAAAGAAGAUCGGUAAUUACAAUAACAUAUGGCUUAUGAUUAAAAAAAAAUAAACAGAGGGUAAUAUAAGAAAUCUAAUAGUGAGAAGGAUGAAACAAGUUGAUGAAUAUUUAAGAAAGUAAUGGUACUUAAGAAGAUCUAACUGUGAAGCAGUUGGGUGAUUUUCUUUAAAUAUCUAUACUAAUACAUAAAGUAAAGAGGUUUUCUAAAGGACUCAAUCUUUUAACUUCUCUAAAUAUUCUCAACGACUUUGGGCCUAUUCGAUAACCAAUUUAUUCUCAGGAACAAUGUCUGUUUAAAUUUUUUUUUUUAUUUUGUUUCCUAGAUAGUACUUAAAAGCGUUUGGUAACUAUUCAAAAUUUCUAUUCUUUGAUGAGAAAUACAUUUGAUAAGAUUUUAAAUUAUUUUGUAAUUUAGAAUUUCCUUUAUUUUUUAAUAAUUUUUUUAAUAUUAUUCUCUUUUUCCUUUUCUUUUUCUCCUUCUUCCUCUUGCCGACAACCGGCCAAACAAGGGCCGGCAAUCUUGUCAUAACGUCACCGGCCCCUGGCAAGGCCAAGCCUUGCCGGUUGAGCCUCCCUGCCACUCUUGACCUCACCUUGGUUGGGCGAGCUCGGCUCGGCCUCGCUCAGAUUUGGUGAGGCGGAGCUCACCCACGGCCAGGUGACGCGAGCCUCGCCAACAGUGGGGAAUAUAUAUGUGUUUUAUUUUCCACACGUUUAGUUAUUAGAUUUUGAUUUUCUUUCUAACAACAAUAGCAACCUUUAUAAAAGACGUUCAAAUUUCAAAAUAUCUUCAUUUUUUUCUCAUAUAUGUGUAUAUUCAUACACUUAGUUUUUUCUUAAUUUAAUCCAUGACCUCUAUUUCUGCAGAGAGCUCGCCACAAUUUCCUUGUAUUUCGAUAAAUAUAGGAAAAGCCAUCAAUUGAAUUUGUGUAUUUGCUGAAAUGACUAACUUUGACUCAAGGAUCUUCAUAUUUUCAAAUAUAGGAGAAACAAUAUUUCUUCAUUCACAAUCUUAAAACUUUCUUUCACGUCACGGCAGAUAACUGCCACCGUGAUCGCAGCCAUGGCUUACCAAGCAGGCCUUAGCCCUCCCGGUGGCUUAGGGAACGACGAUCAGAAAGCAAAAAAUGGCACCAUGUUAUACUACGCAGGAACAUUGAUAAUGGCUGCAAACAAUUCAAAGGGUUACCUACGAUUCUGGAUAUGCAACACCGUCUCUUUUCUUGCAUCCCUUAGCACGAUCUUCUUGCUCAUGAGUGGCUUGCCCUUGGGGAAGAAGGUUCUAAUGUGAAUUCGGACGGCCACAAUGUGGGUGACCAUCACUUUCAUGGCGCUGACUUACCUCUAUUCCAUCUCAGCCAUCUCGUUCGUGCUCAGGGAACCUAAACAUGGGAGCCCGAUCAUAGAGGGUGGGUUGUACUCCAUGGAUAUGGGAUCGAUCAUAAUGGUUUGGUUUUCCUUGAUUGUUUGGCUUGGCAAUGUAGUCAUUGUUUUUCUAGUUCACACUAUUCGAUUCCUUGCUUCAUCUUUCGGAAUGUGAAAGAUCCACAAAAGCUCAAGAAGUGGAUAUCAGGGUGUGUGAGUUGGUCCAGAUCUAGGGGCAAUAUUGAGAUCUAAUGUAUUCAUCUAGUAGGACAAAGGAUUACUGCAUAUUCUUGAUGCCUAUGUUCUUUCUAACUUAAUUCCUAGAGAGAAGUACACUACCGGUGCCAUAACUUGUGUACGACACUCACUUGGUGCCAAAAGUUUCAUUCGGAUCACUUAAGUGCCAAAAAUUUUGAAAAACGAUCAUUUCAGUGCCAACACCGAUCUGGUUGGCCAGAAAUCUGAUGUGGCAACUCUUUAUUUAUAUUUGAAGCUGAUGUGGAUCGCUGGAGAAUACAAUCUGCAUGCAAACAACAAAACGACGCCAUUUAGCGUCUUUUCCCCCAUAUAAGAAACCUUAAAUUCCCAAAUUCGAGCAGACUCGGAAAUUGAAAACCCUAAAUCCCCAAUUCGACCAAUUCGAGUGCAUACUUUGAUUUUCUCCCAAAGUUUUUAGCUCGCUCUUGCAAAUGGAGGGCAGAAGCUUCAGCAGCGGCUCACAUUCCUACAAAGGUGAUCCUAGGAGAAGAUUUCAUGGGUGCAGCGAAUAUAAAGAAGGCUCGAAGUGCAAAUAUUUCAAAUGGGUUGAUAGGAAAUUUUCUGAUCAAGCGACAGAGGUGAUCCUGGAGUUACUUGAAGGCCGAAAUCAACCUCCACCUACGUUAAUGGACGAGUUGGAGGAUGUCGACUCAAUGCAAGCUCAAAUGAAGGGUUUAACAUCUCUAAUCGACCAUUUGAAUAGGAAGGUUUCAAAGCUGAAAAUUGAAAGAAACUUUUAUCGAGCGUUGAUUAUGUUCUUAUUCUCUUUGGUAGUUUAUUCAAAUGUGAAGUGAGUAAUGAGAAGAAGUUUGUAUGUCUACUAUAGUCGAAGACGUGGAAUAUGCACUUGUAUUGGAUUAUUUAUAAGUAAAAUGUGUUUUUGGUUUGCUGCAAUUUUUGUAUGAAGCAAAAGGUUUUGUUGUAAUCUAUGGUAGAAAUGCAAGGUUGGAGUUGGAAUGCAUUAGUUGUAAGCACUUAAAAGUUUUAUUAUUUAGUUGUGUAUUGUCAAUGUUUGUUUUGGUUAAUUUUUACUUCAGAUAUAAUGGUUUGCUUGCUGCAUUUUUUAUUUGGUAAUGGUUUGUUGAUUUGUUGGUUUGCUACAACUGCAAACCAUAGCAAAAUGGAACGUUGGAGUUGGAAUGCAUUAGUUCUGAGCACUUAAAAGUUUUAUUGUUUAGUUGUGUAUUGUCAAUGUUUGUUUUGGUUAGUUUUUGCUUCAAAUAGAAUGGUUGAUGCAUUUUUAUCGUUGUAAUGGUUUGUUGGUUUGCUGGGUUGCUGCAACUACAAACCAUGACGAAAUUAAGGGAUGGUGGCAAAUUAACGAUUGACCAUUUCAGUGUCAAAAGUUGUAAACAGUGAUCGCUUGAAUGCCAAGUUUUUAUAAAAAUGAUCAUUUAAGUGCUAGUCGCGAUUACAAAGUGAUCAUUUUAGUGGCAGUCGUGAUUACAAAGUGAUCACUUCUGUUGCACAAGUUAUGAAUAGUGAUCGCUUGAGUGCUAAGUUUCAAACUCACACCAGUCAUGGUGCAUUUUGCAUCUUGUUGCACCAUGGCAUCUUAUUCUUGCAGCAGUUGGAUUGCUGGUGCAUCUUUUUAAAACAGCCCAUACAAGUGUUAAUGCAAUGAGAUGCACCAGCAGCCAAAAUUGCAUCUUGUUCCAGCACAUACAACUAGAACCCCACAAAUAGCAUCAACACAUCAACAACUUCAAUCAGCAACACUAUAUGCACACAUCUAAACUAAAAAUAAUNNNNNNNNNNNNNNNNNNNNNNNNNNNNNNNNNNNNNNNNNNNNNNNNNNNNNNNNNNNNNNNNNNNNNNNNNNNNNNNNNNNNNNNNNNNNNNNNNNNNCCCAUCAGUCAAUACAAACAACACCCCGAUCUCCUUUUCGUCUUGGAGCUUGAAUUGAUUCAUAAUCCGAGCACUCUUUCGAACUAGAUGUGUAGGUUCUUUAACUGGGCUUUGUGUCACCUCCUUUUCCUUAUUCUUGACAGCCGCUAUUUUGCUUCUAGCACGUGUCAUGUGUUGGUCCAUAUCAUCACUAUUGCUCACAAUCAUUGGUUGAGAUGGAACUGGUGCUGGGUUCUUUUUGGAUGGCUGUUUUGCAGCUAUACCCACUGUCUUCUUCUUUGGAGCACUCUUCUUUGGAUGUGCCCUUGAUUCUUGAGUUGGUCCACCUUGAGAGAGAAGUACCUCCGAAGUUCUCCUAGAUUACAAGAACAUAGCGAUAUAGUCAACCAAAUGAAUUGAAGUACAACAAAUUAAAUGCAUGAGACCUACAAAUCUUACAUUCGAAAUAGUCAUUCAAGUACGUUCAUCUGUGUAAGUCCCAUAACCAUAUUGCCUUAAUCUUUUUCCAAGAGCCCCUCUUGUUCGCUGUGGUGCAUCAUUUUCAGCAGCAACUGAGGGAGCAACCUCUGCAACUUGUGCAGUUGCUUGUCUUCUCACCUGAGAAACACAUAACAAAUUUAAAUUUCAGCUAUAAAAGACAAACACAACGAUGUACAACUUAUAGGAUAUUUUCUUUCUCAUUUGCUCAACAGUGGACUCAGUUGUUGUUGUUACUGUCCUGCCCGUUCCAAUCCCUGUUCUUGCACUUGAGCCUACAACAGGGCCUGUUUCUGGCCCUUUAAUAGGCCUUAUAACAAUGUACUGUAUCAGGAUUAUGACCAACUACAAUGAUUUGAAUAAUUAGACAUCUACUCAUUUUCAUGGUGGGAAACAAAUGGGGAAAACUUUUCAAAUUACAAGUGCAUGACAGAGGAAAAGCACAAGAGAAGCCAGUACACCUAGUCAACCAUCAAACUCUAUUGAAUAUGAACUGAAAAGUUACUAAGGCAAAUAAGAUACUUACCUUAUAGCAGGGCUUUACGUUUGCCCUUCAGUAGGCAUUACAGCAGGGCCUUCUAUCCUCCCUUCAAUAGGCCUAAGAAGAAGCUCUUCAGUAAGUCUUGUCCCUGGCACUAAAUCAGCUUGUUGUUAAUGCUAUUUUUUCAGCUCACAACCUUUCUUAUUGUGCCCUUCCUUGUGACAAUAGGAGUAUUUUAUCUUUGCCCCAGUCCUACUCAUCCUCUAACUUGAUGCCUCUUCCUGCUGCAUUCUUCGUCUCCUCUUUGGCCUUCCUAUUUGCUUCUUCAAUGGCAAAGGUAGAGGACUUUCAUGAUUUGUUGGCUCCCAAAAUUUGCUGCUUCUGAUAGGCUGCAACACGAAUUGGUAUGAAGCAAGGUAUGAGCUUUUUUUGUACCGAUCAUAUAGGUAAUCAUCUGGGUUUUCUUGCUUCAUCUGAAUAGCACAAAUGGCAUGGGCACAGGGAAUUCCAUUCAGUUGCCAGGCUCGGUAUGAACACUUUCUUCUAUCCAGGUUGAUAACAUACUUAUCUUGAUUUUGAAUAAUCUUAUAUCCAUUAUCUCCAUUCCAAACUGGAUGGCAGAACCUACUAACAGCAAUGUUUGUAUCCAAUCUCUUCACAAUCCUAGGGCCACAGUCUCUAGUCCAUUUCGUAGCCUCAUUUCCCUGCAUAUGCAAUUUAGUCAUCACCAUAACUCGAAUAUCAUGAAGCAUGCUAAUGAUUGGUUUGCACCUGGCCUCUAAAAUUCUGUCAUUGAAAGCUUCACUGAGGUUGUUAUCAAUGAUAUCGCAUUUGAACUCUUCACUGAAGAAGGCCCGACACCAGUGCUUAGCUUCUGUUUGGAAGAGUGCAUCAAAACCUUCCUUUGUUAGCUGUAACAAUCCUUAUUUGGCUAAUCUGAAAUCAGUCAUGUUGGUACUCUUUGUUAUAUGCCAGAACUGCUUCUGCAGCCUAUUUCCUUUGGAGUUCCUUGACCAGUUUGCAUAUAUGUGACUCGCGCAUAUUCUAUCUCAGCAUAUGGCAUCAACUCAGCCAAUGCAGGAAUAAGUCCCUACAAAAAUUCAAACCAAUAAAUACAAGUCAGGAAAAAUAUGCAAGUGAUUAAUAUUAAAAAGGAGUGAAUUAAUUGAUAAUGAAAUUACUUUCAAUUUGUCGCUCAUGAAUACCCAUCCUCCCCCAUCGGUUAUCUCAAGGUCAGCCAUUAAAUUUUUAAGGAACCAGUACCAAAUAUCCUUGUUCUCUAUCUUCACCACCACCCAAGCUAUUGGAAACAUUUGAUUAUUGGCAUCUCUCCCCACAGCAGCCAACAACUCCCCCUUGCACAAACCCUUUAGAAAGCAUCUAUCCAAUCCUAUAACUCUUCUACAACCAGCCAAAAAACCCCGUUUGCAUGUAUCAAAAUAGACAUAAAAUCUAUCAAAUCUAGACCCAAGAUCAGGGAGUGGCCUCUCCACAACCUCUACAUAUACCCUACUAGAUGGAUUUUGAAACAUGCAUUCGUCAGCAUAGUCCCAUACCUACGCAUAUUCUUCCUUAUACCCACCCAUCAAUAUUUUCAUCACCCUCAUCUUAGCUCUCUUGCAUUGAUUCCUUGACACAUUAACCCCUACUUGCUCCUUCACUAACUGUUGAAAUUGAGGACUCUUGAUCUCGGGCAUAUCUUUGAUAGUGUUGAAAAAAUGCUUUGAUAACCACACACUUGUUACCCUUUUAUUGUUAAAGAUAAUUGGACAAGUAUGCUCCUCCUGGAAGGACCUAAUCUGGAAUGACCCCUUCUUACUCAACGCGCCAUAGAGCUUCCAUGGACAAUGGGUUGUGAGCACUUAGCUCUCACAAAUUCCUUUGUAUUUCUAAUGAAUUGAACGCUCCUCUGUUCACCAAUGGAGUUAUUCACAACAGCUUACUUGAACUGUUUGGCAUCGUCAAAUCUCAUGCCCACAGAUAAAACAGAUUUAUCAAUAGUCGGAUCAUAGCAAGGGUACUUACUUUUUCUUCGACGAGCAGGUUCUUCAUCAUCAUUGUCAAGCUCAUUCUUCGAACCAGCAACUUUAUCGCCGUAGCUUUCUUCAUCUUCACUUAUAUUACCUUCAGCUGGAGCUCCAUCCCUAUUUACUGGCUCGGGCCUCUUUGCUGAAGCUGUAAGUUUUUUUCUCAGAAAUUCCCUUUGCUUUUGUCUUGACUAUGCAAGUUCAAGUUCAUCAUCAUCUUCGUCCUAGGGAAAUUAACUGAAGCCAAAUAUUCAUCUUCCGAUUCACUAGAUAAAACAAUUUCCCAUUAUAAUCCAAUGAAGUCUUCAUCACCCACAUCUUCACCCAAAUCUUCACCUAAGAUUUCAGGACAUCUCCCUGUUUGUUCAUCUCUAUCAAUAUGACUUAUCUCCCUCUCAUUUUUCCCUUCAUCUAACCUACACUCAUCCCCGACCUGAUUACUCGCUUGAAUAGGAUCCCUCACUUCUUCAGUGGUGGUCUGCUCAUCCCCAUCCUCAUCCUCAUCCUCAUCCUCACCAUCACUAUAAUACUCAACAUAUACCUUAGCUUCUUCACCGUGAAGAUAAUGGUAAAUGAUAUCCUUAAUACCAUUAUCGUCAUUUAAAAAAUCUCAAGCCAUCCUUCAAUUCCUUCCCAGGAACACACUAAUGUAGUUUUUGCACUUUGCAUCGUAAAAAAUACACCAAAUCUCUCAUAAAAUCAAUAUAUGAUGGCUUCCGAACAUUGACAUAAAUAAUACCUUCAUUUCCACCAGUACAUUCCCAAUCAUCGGUGCCAAUAAGAAACUCUCCACCAUAGCAAACAAUUAUGCCUACCUGAUUCACGUCCAUGUCGAUGCUGCACCUAAUAAAAAAAAGUGACAUUACUUGUUGGGACCACAUGACUGAAUCAGCAACUUCACAUGCAGGUCCUUGCCGUUUUGUUGUCAAGAAACAAAUGCACUAAUCUCCCCAAUUUGAUGCUUUUACAGAAACAAAAGAAACCGAAUUGAAUAAACAAAGUGAAGUCCCCACCACCCAUUUUUCAAUUCAAUCACAUUCGGUCCCCCACUGUUUCCCCCACAGAAGCAGUCCAAUUAAUUAAACAAAUUCGGUCCCACCGUUGUUUCCCUCUGAGUCAAGCCCCAUUUUCGCCUCUGCGCCCUAUUUUUCUAUUUGGUCCCCACAAAAGAAAGCGAAUGAACGACGGAACUGUGGCAUCCCAAAAUUUCAUGGCAAUUUCUGGAGGCAUUACAACCUAUGGAAAGGUGAUGGAAGUACCCUUAAGUUGAAUUGUAGCCAUUUAAUCCAUAAUUCGCAAUAAGAUUCAUGGCCAAGCUUUUAAUGGAUAAUUAUUUGAUAGGAAAGAAAAUCCUAUCAUUGGCCAUGUGUGUUAUAAAUUGGAAUUUAUUGAUUUAUGAUUUCAAGUUUUAUGGCCAUAUGAAAUUGUAAUUUAGUAUUUAUAUAAGUGGGGAUUUAAGGUAAACUAUUAAAAAUAAACAUGGACUUAUUUAAGAAAAUUUUGGGCCAUUUAAGUUUGGACUUUAGGCCCAAGAGUGUUGAGCCUAAACUGGGCCAAAAGGCCGGCCCAUGAAGCCCCAUUGGGCCGUCGACCAAGGCUGGGCCCAAGCCUAGCUGGAUAAAAGCCCAUCUUGCAUAGCAAUUACCAAGUGUCAUUUCCUAGUAGCCAAGUGUAGCAAGCCAUGCAAAAUCAAAUGAUGGCUAAUGAUGAAGGGAAAGAAAUUAGAGAGGAAGAGGGGGGCGGAUUAAGCGAGGAAAGGGAGAGAAAGAGAGGGAGUCGCACGAGAGAAAGAGAAAGAGAAAGAAAGAGAGAAAGGAAAGGAAGAAAGGAAGAGGGAAAGGGGAGACCGUGCAUGCGAGAGAGAAGAAGGAGGUCCGUUCGCCGAUCGUCCGCCUAGCUCACCGCCGUUCGUUCGCCGCCUUGCCCACCAUCUUUGUUGCUGUUUGUGCUCGGAUUAGAGGUAAGUAGAGUCCUAAAACCUACCCUUUGCUUGCUGUGAUGUGUGUGUAGAAGAUGGUCAAUUUCGGUUGUGGUGGAUGUGAUCAAAGUUCGAAGUUUUGGGGAGAAAUUCGUUGGCCUAGCAUGCUGUUUUCUGGAGAAAUCAGUCCGACCCUUCACGAGUUUGUGAGCUGCAUGCAACUUUUUAGUUGGAAUCUCGCUUUGAUCUCUUAAUAAAAGUUGUAUAGAGCAUCUUGAGGAGUAACAUACUAAAAUUUGAGAUAAAACGGACAAUGAUUUCCUGGUGAAACGAUUUUCCUUUGGAGAAAUUAGAUCUGGAAUGUGUUGUGCUGACCUUUAGUGAUUUCGUGGACUGUAAAGUAUCUUUCUUGCGAAAAUCUCACUUUGAUUUCUUAAUAAAAGUUGUAUUUUACUUCUUGAGGUGAAACAUAUCAAAAAUUUAUAGGAAAUGAACAAAAAUAGGUCGGCGAAAUCGUUGUCCUUUGAAGAAACGGGAUCUGGGAAAAUGCUACCUCGACCUAGUAUGAUUCUGUGAUUUUUAUAAAAUUAUCCAGUUAAAAUUUGAUCGUGUGACCUUAAUGAAAGUUGUAGGUAAUAUUCUUAGGUAUAACAUACUAAAAACUUAGAAGAAACGGACAUAUUUAGAUUGGUGAAAUGAAUUUCCUUUGAAAGAAGAUAAUCUGGAAAAAAAACGACACCGAAAACAGGGGGAAUUAAUCGUCUAUAUCUAGUAAUCUAGAACGAUUUGGUUUCUAUUUCUUGACGAGAUAUUUACCUUUAGGACUUUUCUAUAACAUAUCAAAAUUUCAGAAUUUUUGGAGUUCAUUUGGAUAUUUAAUUUAAAUUACUGCCGAAACUGUGCAAGCUGAAGUGUUAAAAUUUUGAAGACUGUGAUGCAUGGACCGUACUGUUUUGUGUGAGAUUCUUUUGGUAUGGCGUUUUUGAUGAGAUAUCUGCCUUUAGGUCUCGUCUAUAAUGUGUCAAUUUUUCAGAAUUUAUUUAUACCAUUUACUAAUUUUUCUAGAGUCUUAACCAAAGGAGUGCAUUCUGUUUUAUCUGAAAAUUGAUGUGUUUUCAAAAAUAAAUGAAUUUUUCCAUGUGAUGUAAUGCUUUGAGCAGUUGAUUUUGCUGCAUAUGUGAUGACAUAUGGUAUGUUAUAUGGUAUCAAAAGCUGGUUGAGACUCUUGAUAUUGAUGCAUCAAAUGCUAUGUUGAAAUUGAAAUACGUGUGUAAAUAUAAAUUGAGAUAAUAACAAGACCGUCGGAGGUGUGAGCCGACGAUGCCUCGGGAGUUUCGAGAUGCCCGGAGUGUGUGUGCUGAAUACCCAGAGUGUGUGUGCCGGAUGUCCUCGGGAGUUUCAAGAUGCCCGGAGGUGUGUGCCGGAAGCCUCGAAGGUGUGUGCCGGGGGGAUACCUCGUGAUGCUAAUUGGGAUACGAGAUGCUCGGAGGUGUGUGCCGGAGGUUCCUCGUGAUGCCAGGUUGGAUGCGAGCAAUAAAUUGUGGGAUGCAAACAUUGGUCCCUGGAAAGAAAAAUGAUGUGAUCUAAUUGAAAGAUAAAGAUCAAGGAUUGAAUCAUGCGCAUGGAUGUAUGCUUGAUAGCAUGGAUGAUAUGAAUCUUGGUGAUAUAAGUUUGGCUGCUUGAUGAUACAUGUAUAAGUGCAUGGUGAUUUAUGCACAUUGCAUGAUGAUAUGCAUGGCUGUAAGGUGAGUUAUGCUUGAAUGCAUGAAAGAUAUGUGUUUUAUUAUUGAUUGUUCUGCUUGAUGCAUUGUGUAGUUUGGUUGAUCUUUACUGCUGAAUGGUUGUACUCACCCCUUUAGGGAUUAACAUUUCAGAUUAGAAAGAUGCCUCUUUCACCAGUCGUGCGUGGUACCUACUAUGGCAUACCUACUGAUGUUGAUGUGGAGUGCACGAAGCAAAUCUGUGUCGGUGCCCCUGGUUUAGUGUUUGUCCGAGUCCGUGUCUUGGUGAUGUACGAUGUGGGUCUUGCUAAUGGCCCCGGUUAUCUAGGAGUUUUUGUCUAUCCACGUCCGGCGCGAUGGAGUGAUGCUAGGGAUGCUACUACUGCCGCCGCCCGAUGCACCGGGUUGGGUGUGAUGACGCAUAUGACUAGUGGGAGUUGACACUUUUUAGGGGGAUAGCCGACGCUUGUUGAUGGAAGGGUGUAUAUGUUCGAUGUAGGAUCGAGUUCUCUUUUGAGUAUAGCCAAGUAUAGUUAAAAUCUUGGCCUUUUUGCUGUACCGACCCGAAAUAUCCAUCUUGAAAAUAUAAAUAAAAGUGACUUGGCUUUGUCUUUUCAUUUGGAGCAUAGUUGGUGUGCAUUGCAUUAUUGUUUUGGAGUAAGGGAUGGUGAGACUCGUUUAUGCUUCCGCUGAUGAACUGCGCUGGGACCUUUACAAAAAAAAAAAAAAAAAAAAAACUCUCUAGUUAAAAGGUAUCAGUCUAUGAAGGUUGUAGGAGAUCGAGUAAUAGGUACCUGUGGCGACCUCAAGCGAAUCGGGGGUGCCACAUGAACCCUCAAAUUUUCUAUUCGGUCUCCACCACUUUCCCCACCACUUUCCCCUUGAGUUGAGCCCUCAAUUUGCCCUCCACGCCUUAACUUGCCCGUCGGAACCCUAAAUUUUUCACUAAAUUGACCCAUGUAGAGAACAUGACAAACUUGAGUGAGCGAGAGUUGAGGACACAGCUAGUGAACGAACGUGAAUGACGGUGCAACUACAGCGGUGGCCAAGCGACAGUGGGCGAGUGACGGCGGGCGAGUGAACGACGGUGGGUCAGCGAGCUACGGCCGGCGGCGUCGAGUGAGAAUCGUAUACGACCAUCAUUUUUUGCCGUAGUCUCUUCUAUUUUACAAAACGACGAUCGUUUUGUAAGUGAUCCACGUGGAAUGGUAAAACAACGCCGUUUCUUACGAAGAAAGGAAAACAGCGUCAUUUUAUGCCAUCCACCGUGGACAGUCUAAAGAAUUAUCGAUUUUUAUUCUAAAUAUAAAAGCCAUGUAAUCAUUUUGGCCGGAAUUUCUUGCCGGCGGCACUAAAGUGAUCGUUUUGUCUCCGAUUUGGCACUUAAGUGAUCCGACGGAAACUUUUGGCACCAAAGUGAGCGCCGUACACAAGUUAUGGCACUGAUAGUGUACUUCUCCCUAAUCCUUAUGUCAUAAGAUCAUUAUGAGUACCGCUACUUGUGCAAACGAUUUAAUGUGACUACCAAACCAAAUGUAGAGUCCAUCUCACAUUAUUCUCGAGCUCUCCUCAUCAGAGAUGUCUCGCCCAUGUAGCCGAAUCUUUCUAAAGAGAAUGGGAAGGCUUGGCCACAAAGUAAUCCAAUCUACUCCUAUGUAUGCCGCAAAUUAGUAGGUAAAAGCAAUAUUGGGCCAUUUCUAUGAUUAGUCUCACACAACUUCACCAUUCUCUUUCCAAUCACACUAAACAACCGAACCCACCUUCCUCAAAAGCAUCCGCACUUCUUUUAUGCUUCCUUCAUAUUCUUCUCCAAUGCUGAUAGAUGUCCAAAAGCCCACUGAUCAAAGCUACUAAGCCUCUUUGUCUGAUUAAUUUCAACCCCAUGGCACCAAACCAUAAUGCAGUCAUACCAUUUACAUGAACUUCCUACACUAUCUUUCCUGCCUAAUCUUAAGGAAGUGAUACACAGACUUCACAGAAAACACUCCAUUAUUAUUUGCAGGCUGUGCAAGCUGAUCCUCCCUCAAAGGUCGGAAUCGAAGCAGCGCUAGUUUCAUAUGUAAUGUUCACAUACCAGAACGUGUGCUUCUUCCAAAACAACAUUCGAGCUAUGAUAUUAUGAUACUUGCCAAACGAUCUUUUCUUCUUUAUAUAGACAAGUAGAUGAGGGACAAGGCAGAAAUACAACCUAAAAUCUCAUGGACCGAUCUGUUGUUCCUAAUCACGAGACAAAGGAUUGGUAGCAUAUCAUCCCACACAAAACACAGAAAAUUACUGUUCAUAUGCAAACUGAUUACAGGGGAUGGAAGAACAGAGAGAUGAAAACAAUUGCAUAGAUAGAUCUUUGGUACCUUAUGUUGGAGAAAACUUCUUUGAUGUUUUGAAGCUGACAAAACUUAUCCACAUUCUAUUCUAAAGAUUUCAAGAUUUUUAUGUCAAAGUCUAAAGACGUCCAGAUUGUUAUGUCAAAGUCUGAAGACUCCUAGACUUUAUGUCAAAGUCUGUCCACUCUGACCAAUUCCAGAGUGAAUGAAAUUGAAGGAUGAAGACUUUUCCAGAUAAAGGGUUAACUUUCUUUUUUCAAGGGUUUGGUUUGUAAAGGUUAUAUAUGGUCUUCUGGUUGGACAUAUCACCUACGAGAUUGAUUAUCUUUAUCGGAAUCAAUUUAGAUACAUCAAAUAUUUUUGGAAGGCAAGUAAAUUUGGAAAGAAUCUAUUUAUGGAAACCAAGAUUCUAAUUGUAUGGGAAAACAGGAUUGAUGGGCUUUCAUCACAACCUUCAAACAGCUCGAGAUCUCCUUGAUUGAUUCUAUCCAACGGGUUGAUUGGAAGAAUUCCUUUGAAAAGUUCCAACGAUCGAGAAGGCGUGAAGGAGUAUUUAAGGGGGACUUUUCAGUUGUUCAACAGUAUGCGUGAAAGAGAAAUUCCAAAUUCUGAAGCUUCCCACUUUCUUGUUACUUCUUACAUUGAGCUCAAAGUUGUAUUCAAAAGAGAGAGACUGGUAGUGAGACUUCGUGAGAAAGCAGUAGAGACUCUUCAUUGUGAAGUCGAGAUCGCAAGAUUGUAAAUUCGCUUAUGAUUCAUAGUGGAAACCAGCUAGAAGGCUGUCAGCGUGAGAGAGUGGACGUAGGCUUGAUCUAAGCUGAACCACUAUAAAUUAUGUAUUCUUAUUCUCUUCCCUGAACUUCUUUAUUUUGUUCGUUGUUCUAUUUAACUGCCAAAGUCUGAACUCACUUAAAGUCUGUUGCUCUUCAGACUCAGUGUCAAAAGAAAAAUAUUUUUGAUGUUCUUUGCGAAAAUUGUUUUCACACCCUAUUCACCCCCUAUAGGUGUUCAUACUAGCACUUACACCUUAGAUUGGUGAUAAUCAAUCCAUAACAAUUAGGAAGGUAAGAGAGCUCUCAAAGGCAAGAGUUAGUACUUCCAUCUGUCUUAGACGACCACAAUGCGUGGUUUCAAUUAGGAAGCCCACAACUAACACAGCUCAUAAACUCCAUUCAACCCAACUUGGCAAAACAAGCCUCUUUCAAGAAGUUCCGUUUCGCACCCCCAACUUAAUGCAACCUGACGGUUUUGUUUGGGAGAAUAAUAUUGGGGUUGCGUAUGUGUGGGUUAAGAGCCGCCAAUUCCUUCCAUUUAGCACCAGUUCCAUGAACACUGGAUGAGAUGCUCCACAAUGUGUCACCAGGCUGUGCCUUAGUUGUUGCUGGGGCAACAGAUAUAGAAGAAGUAGUCUUCGACUUCAGAAACGGAUGGUUAUUGCUCUUUCCCAUUCCAUUAGCGAGCAACCAACGGGAACCAGAUUGUUGCUGGUUUGAACUUCCCCGGAUCUUUCUCUUCCCAGGAUCAGUCUUGAUACCAGCAACAUGGACUUCAGUAAUCUUGCACUGGGAAUUUAUCCCCACAAAUUUGUGUUCAUAUGAUAAAAGUUCUUGCUUACAAUCCCACGACUCGAGGUAAACACACCAAACUCAAGUGGCCUCACAGCACUAGACAUUCUUGAGAAGGUUCCCAGAGGCUCGAGAGUUCUUGAAAUUGAGACAUCCCUUCAAAGCUCAGGAGCUUCACUCUCCGUAGACAUCCAAUUAGUCCCAUAUCACUAUGAUCCAGUUCUUGACCCACCACCAAGAAUGAUCUCCCACACCACCACCUCAAGAUCACCUAAAAUCUCCCCAUCACUCUCCACCAAGAAAGGCCCGCCAAAGAAACAGAGUACUUUAACGAAACCCCUACCAAAGAAACUGAGUGCUCUAAGAAGAUCCCCGGUGGAAGCCGAUUGGCUGAUCCAGGAGAAAUUCACUAAUGGUGGUCGCUUCGCUGCUACCGAUGGUGGCAUUCCAAGUUGCGACCACGCCGCCAGGAGGCGUCUGGCAGGACGACUACAAGGUUGAUGCUAACGGCAACCCAGUGAAGGAGCCGCACAUGGCGGGCACCUCUAUCAUGGCCCACAUCCAACGGAUCGCCUACGGACAGUUCAUGAUCUUCCACCCACUGGCCUUCCUGUCCUCCCUUAGCAUCAUCCUGCUCCUUUUGAGUAGGCUUCCAAUAAAGCGGCGACGCUGGGUGUGGACCCAGAUGGUGAUCAUGUGGCUAGCGAUCACGGGGCAGGUGAUCACCUACUUCAUAGCGCUGCACAACAUAUCGCUGGCUAACACGUGGGAUGCUGAAGGACGUGACAGACGGUUUCAGUGGUGUGAUGGAUGUGCCUAGUGGGGGUGGUGUUCAUGGGGAAUGUGGUGAGGCUAUGUGUGUGGGUGCUAAGGAAGUGGGGUUACUUGAAGAAGAAAGAGAAGAAUGAUUCAAAUGAAGAUGAUGAAAACAAGUACGAGGAAGUGUGACGGUUUGUGUGACAAUCGAGUAAAUUGAACGGUCCUUAUUCUGUGAUAGCAACGACAUGUUCAAUAUGUGUAAAAUUUGUGAAUCUGAUGAGCGGGUUGAUGAUGGGUUUUGAGGUGCUCUGUUUUCUUCUACUUCAAUUUGAUAAGAGAGUAUUUGUCCUACAAAGAAGUUAAGACGGAUUCUGCUAGAGAAAUCUUUGGAUGGUAAACGAUUGAAGAGACUAAUAUGGCGCUUGGAGCAAUCGUGCAUGAUCUCCCUCUGUAAUUUGUACAAAAUCGGGACAAAACACGGUUAUAGUUGCCGCGAUUUCUUCUAUAUACAAUGUUGAAAAUGACAGACGAAGAGAGCUUCAGCCAGUUCGGCCAGGUCUGCUCAGGAAUGGCUCAGUCCUCAACUCGGCCAUCUUUGCUCGGCAUUGAAGAAAUAUGGACAUUGGUCCUCAAUUGAGAUUCAAGGUAGCUAGAAAUAAAUUAGUAGUGCGGGAUGGGAGUUCAUGCAAUCAUUAUAUAAUUGUUUCCUUUGUUUGAAUAUUAUUUGAUGCUGAGAUUAGAAAUGUUUGUCUCAGUUUUCUAUUUCCUGUAAGACAUAAAAAAACAAAUGCGAAAGCCAGGAUCGAUUAUAGACAAACCUCCAGCCAUUGUUCUUGUUCUUGUUCUUGUUCGUCGAAAAAUCCUGAAAAUCAAAGAAAUAUUGGGCACACACUACUAACCCAAUUUUCUCACAUAUACUGAUGGUAUAUUCCAAAUGAGAGGGUCUGUGUUAGACCUUGUGAUCACCCGUCAGAAAUGAACGAUCGUUCCUUUUAAACAUCGUCUCCCAUUAAGACAGUUAUCAAAAUGGGCAGUUGUCAUGAAAAUGUACAAAAUGUGGAAAAACUACAUGUCAAAUAACCGCCACUUUAAAGAGAAAAUAUGGAUCUAAAAUGUGGGAUCACAAAAUAAAAAUAACAUUCUCCCACUUGAUCCCAUCACUUUCAUCAUACAGAUUAUCCAACCAUUUCCACGAAAAACUUUAUGCUUCAAGAAAAGAAACAAAACACAUGGAUCAUGGCGACAUGUCCUCUAAGAGUGAGUAAUAUCUUCCAUGCAUCACAAUGCAUCUUAUUUCUUUAAUGUCAGCCUAUAUGUGACAACAUAUCUUAAUGAAUAAACCCUUAUUUAUUCUAGAACCAAGGAUAAAUAUUAUUCUCAUAAACAACAAAAUGUAUACACCAAAGUUGAGAAUCAACAUUACAACAUAAUAAGAGUUUUAUACAACAAAAAUCGUCCAUAUGACGACAAAUUACAAGAUGGGACCUAUUCUCAUAUUAGUUACAUGAUCCUUAUACUUCAUUGGUGGCAUGCCUUAGUUAAAGGAUUAACUAUCAUCAAUUCAAUGCUAACGUGUUCAAUGACCACUUUAUUCUCCUUAACACGUUCCCUUAUGCCUAAAUACUUGAUGUCGAUAUGCUUACUUCAACUGCCACUUUUGGCAUUUUUAGCCAUAAAAACUAUAGCUAAAUUGUUACAAUAUAUAUAUAUAUAUAUAUAUAGGUAAGAAUAUAUUGAUUUAAACCAAACAAAACAACUCGGAAUUUGGCAUAAAAAACUUAUACUCAACGAGGUAACAAGCCAGGUCGAGUGGAAGGAUGCCAGGAAAAGGAAGCCAAAAGCUACUAAGGUAGCAACAGGAGGCCAAACGGCAUCCACGAAAGAGCCAAAUAGAAAGAAAAGCUACAAGAAAAUACAACCAGACAAGCGAAAACAACCAAAAGGAGCCAACGAACAAGAACAACACCAACCCCCCAAAAGAAAAGGCAAUGAGACCUUGACACGCUGAUAGGCGACGAAACAGCAAAGGCCGAAGCACUUAGUCCGCAAAGAUGGCCGGGUCAAUACCCCAAAUUCGUUGAGUUCUUCUAUUUCUCGGAGUAUCUGUCACUUGGCUAAAGGAGAUGGCUUUGUCCCUCACAACUUUAAGUAGGCGGUUCUUCAUGAUAGGCACAGCAAGAGUCUUGCCCCGAAAGAGAAUGCCAUUCCUAGUUUUCCAAAUAAGAUGGCAAAGUGUAGCGAAGGAAAAUCUAGCAAUCGCCUGAGAGAGCUUUAAGGGCCCAAGAGAUAAUAUCUUGCCAUGGUUUGGUACCAUGCCAUAUAAGGUUGCAUUUAGAAGCCUAAAACGAAGCCAAGCCAGUAGUAAUUGGGCACCCAAAGAAGAGAUGAUUAAUGGAAUCCGGUCUAGAGUUACAAAAAACAUAAGCACCAUCAGGAAUCCUACCAAAGGAAAGAAGAAAGACCUAAGUGGGAAGACGGUUCCUUGUGAUGAGCCACAAAUGGAAUUAGUGUCUCGGGGUAAUAGAUUUACUCCACACAAAGGAAUGCCGAGGAACCACAUUACAGUUCGCACGAAUAGCCUCCCAUGCCGAGGCAAUAGAAAAAAAACGCCUGAGGUAGUCUCAAGCCAUGAAAACCGAUCCGAGGACUAGAACAACAAAGGCAGCGUGUGACUCCACUCUUCAAUAAUACGCUUAGUCGCCAGGCCUGGAGCGGAGUAUAAAUCAGCAACCGAAGCUUGCCUAGACAGACCCGAUCGGUAAAUGUACAUGUCAGAGAAGACCAAGUUGAAGGGGCCUUGUGGUAACCAAGGAUCAAACCAGAGAGAAACCGCUUUGACAUCCCCUAUAUGCCAUAGAAAGAAUCGCUGAAAGUCCUUUCUCAGAGCAAGGAGUUUCCUCCAAGUCCAAGAGCAAACCAUAUGCGUCGGCACAACCCAGUAAUAAAACUCUUCAACAAUAUAUUCUUAAUGGCCUAGAAAUAAAAUCAACAAUUCUAAGCCCAGUAAUGAAACUCUUCAACCAUACACCAUGUGAGGUAGCCUCAAAAUAAAAAACGAACUCAGCCUCCAUAAUGGAAAUAGCAGUCAAAGUCUGCUUGGCACUUCUCCAUGACACGGCUCCGCCAGCUAACAUAAACAUGUAUCAAGAUGUUGAUUUUUGUGAAUCAACGCAACCCGCGAAGUCUGCAUCCGAAUAACCGACUACUUCCAGGUUGUCAGUCCGUUUAUACAAAAUCAUAUAGCCUUUGGUACCUUGAAGGUAUCUCAUCACUUUCUUUGCAGCUCUCCAGUGGUCAAGACCUGGAUUACUCUGAUAUCUUCCCAACAUUCCCAUGGCAAAAGCGAUGUCAGGUCCAGUGCAAACCUGAACAUACAUCAAGCUUUCGACAGCAAAAGCAUAUGGACUGUUGUACAUUUGUUCCCUUUCUAGAUCAUUCUUUGGGCAUUGGUUCAAAUUGAAGCUAUCACCCUUCACAAUGGGUGCUAUACUUGAUGAACAAUCUUUCAUCUGAAAUCUCUCUAGGACCUUAUUGAUAUAGGUUUCUUGAGAUAGUUCUAAAAUUCCUCGAGAUCUAUCUAUAUGGAUCUUAAUGCCAAUAACAUAAUAUGCCUCACCCAUAUCCUUCAUAUCAAAACUCUUAGAAAGAAAUUAUUUCACCUCAUGUAACAAUCCAUUAUCGUUGGUUGCAAGUAGAAUAUCAUCCACAUAUAGCACAAGGAAACAAAUUUUGCUCCCAUUGAUCUUCUGAUAUAUACAUUGAUCCAUGAUAUUCUCUACAAAACCGAAAGAAGAGAUAACAUCAUUGAACCUUAAGUACCAUUGGCGGGAUGCUUUUUUUAGGCCAUAUAUAGAUUUCUUAAGCUUGCACACCAAAUACUCACCUUUACUAGAGGAGAAUCCUUCAAGUUGUUUCAUGUAAACCUCCUCCUCUAGUUCUCCAUUGAGGAAUGCCCGUUUUCACAUCCAUCUGAUGUAAUUCCAUAUCAAAAUGGGCAACAAUGCCAAAACAAUACGAAAAGAAUCUUUCUUAGAUACAGGAGAAAAAAGUCUCCGGGUAAUUGAUUCCUUCCUUUUGAAUAAAUCAUUUGGCAACGAGUCUAGCUUUAUAUCUUUCAAUAUUACCCAAUAAAUCUUUUUUAGUUUUGAAGACCCAUUUACAACCAAUGGCCUCCUUCGAACUAUUAGGUAACUCAACUAAAUCCCAGACCUCAUUAGAUGUCAUAGAACUCAUCUCUUCCUUCAUGGCAUUAUACCACAAAUUGGAUUUAUUACUAUCCAUGGCUUGUGAAAACGUUUCGGGACCAUUCUCAGCUCCAAUAUUAUAGUCAGAUUCUUGUAAAUACACAAUAUAAUCACUAGGAAUAGCCGAUUUCCUUACUCUAGCGAAUCUUCUCAAUGUUGCAUCAACAUUCUCUUGAGGAGCGUGUUGCUCAUCUAGUUCUUCAACAGUUUCUGGUAAUUGCUAAACAACUGGAUCUACUAGAUCAAUAUCAGCAGGUUGUGGAACUUCAACGAUUGGUUGUUCAAUAGCCGACUGAACUGAAUGGGGCAUUAUGAGCAACAACCAACCUUAAACUUGAGGUGAAAGGUUAAGUGUCUGAAUGAUCUUUCCUAGAAACAAGGUCCUUUGAUCGAUUGCUCCUACUAAUUAAGUCAUUUUCAAGAAAUUUAGCGUUCAUUGAUUCCACAAUCCUAGUGGUGUGAGAUGGACAAUAAAACCUGUAUCUCUUGGACCUUUCGGCAUAUCCAAUAAAAUACCCACCUAUGGUCCUUGGGUCCAACUUCUUUUCUUGUGGAUUGUAAACUCUCACUUCAGACGGGUAUCCCCAAACGCGUACAUGUUGCAAACUCGUUUUACAACCUUUAAAUAACUCAAAAGGUGUCAUUAGGAUAGCCUUGGUCGGAACUCGAUUUAAUAUGUAUACUACCGUCUUAAGUGCUUUAGUCCACAAUGACUUAGGAAGUUUGGAGCCGCUAAGCAUACUCCACACCAUGUCCAAUAAAGUUCGGUUUCUUUUUUCCGCUACACCGUUUUGGUUUAGAGAAUCAAGCAUAGUAUAUUGGGCAACUAUCCCAUGCUCUUGAAGAAACUUUGCAAAUGGACCAGGUGCUUGUCCAUCUUCAAUAUAUCUACCAUAGAAUUCUCCACCUCUAUCUGAUCUCACGAUCUUAAUUUGUUUACCACAUCAUUUCUCUACUUCUCCCUUAAAUACCUUAAAGGCAUCUAAUGCUUCAUGCUUAUUAUGAAGCAAGUAAAGAUAAAUGUAACGAGAGUAAUCAUAUAUGAAAGAGAUGAAGUAUUUCUAACCACACGAGUCCAUAUCCGGACUACAAAUAUCCCUAUGUAUAAUUUCUAAUAUUUAUGUUCUCCUCUUGGCACAUUUCUUUGUUUUGUUGAUCUGCUUUCCCUUUAUGCAGUCUACACAAGUAUCACAAUCAGUAAAAUCUAAAUUACUGAGCACUCCAUCAUUUACCAAUCGCUUAAUUCUUUCUAUGGAGAUAUGUCUCAAUUUCCGGUGCCAUAACAUAGAGGAAUGUUCUUUCACAACACAUCAUUUUAUACCAGCGUUAUCAUGAACAUGCAUCGCAUUAUAAUAGGCAUUGUCUUGUAAAUUAAUUCGAAAAAAAAACCAUCAGACAAAGUAUCACUCCCAACAAUUUCAGAUUUAAACUAUAAACAGAAGUUUGAAUCUGAAAAUUUAAAAGAGUAACCCAAAGGUACAAGUCUUGAAACUAAAAUUAAGUUUCUAGAGAAACUAGGAACAUAAAAGGUCAUUUCCAAAUUCAAAACAAAGCCACUAUUGAGAACUAGUCUACAUGUUCCAAUAGCUUCCACAUGCGAACGCAUCUUGUUUCCUGAAUAGAUGCUUUGUUCACUUCCCACUGACUUCCUGUGGUUUUGAAAACUCCGCAAGGAAUUCGAAAUGUGAAUUGUAGAUCCAGAAUCAAUCCACCAAGUGUUGUGACUUACAUUAGCCAUAUUAGAUUCAUAACAAAUACGAGAUAUUGGAUUACCUUUCUUCUCAAGCCAUGCCUUAAAUCUAACGCAAUCCUUCCUUAUAUGCCCCUUCUUUUUAUAGAAGAAACAUUUGAAUUCUUUCUUAAUGUCAGGUUGGGGAGGUAUUUUACAUUUUCCCUUAUACUUGCCAUGACCCUUAUUCUUUCCUUGUGUUACCAAAUAAGCACUUUCUCCCAAUUCCAUAAUCAAUCUUUCUUCCUCUUGAACACACAUGGUCAUGAGUUCAUUAACCCAUUUAUUCUUAUGUGUGUUGUAAGAGAUCUUGAAAGGUGCAUACUGUUGCGGGAGUGUUCAGAAUAUAAUACACAAGGAAUGAUUCAAAUAUCUUAACCUCAAGGUUCUUAAGCUAAGCCACAAUAUCCCUCAUUUGCAUGAUGUGCUCACGCACACCUUUAACACUAGUAAGCUUCAAUGAUGAAAACUUUAUAAUUAGGGUCAUGGCAUGCGCAUUCUCAGAACUCUCAAACUAUGCAUCUAUCGCCUCCAAUAAAGCCUUAGCAUUGUUAUGUUGAGCAACUGAACCACGAAUACUAAGAGAUAUCUUAGCCCUUAUAAACAUGGUACAAAUGCGAUUGGACCGCUCCCAUUGGUUAUAAAGAACUAUCUCAGCUGCAUUGCUCGAAUCAGUUGGAGCAGGUGGUUCGUCUUUCCUUAUAGCAUAGUCAAUGUCCAUCCACCCUAAUUGAAGAAGAACUAACUCCUUCCAAACUUUAUAGUUCUCACCAUUCAAUAUGGGAACAUCACACUUAAAUUCAGAUAAAUUCACAAGUUGCAAAACUACAUAUCAAAUAAUCAUGCUUAUGUCACAAAAUUUGAGGCAAAAUAUACAUAAAUCAUGUUUACCAAUGUAAACAUGUCACAAAUAUGAAUCACAUAACAUAAAAACUACAUGUGGCCUAAGUUUUUAUAUUCAAUAGAUUCAUAAUUACAUUAUUAUAAAACUACCAUAUUAUAUACAUUUUCGUAAUCCCUGUGGGUAAAUUAAGAAAAAUAAUAUGAUAUUUCAUCCUAAUUAAUCAUAUUAAUAUAAUGAAAAUUCAUGUGGGAUAAAAUUCAUCAUAUUGGUAUAAUUGAUUACAAUUAAUGUCCAUUUCUAAAUAUGAUCUGGAGGCUCUUAAUAUAUAUUUUAAUUAAUUAAACAUGCUGUGGCUACUCUCUAAUUAAUUAAAUAUAUGGCUCAUUUGACAUUUAAUUUCGUGCAUAAAAUAUUCAUAAAAAUGCAUGAAAUGGCAAAAUAGUAAAUAAAUGCAUCAAUGGGGGCAGAAUAGUAAAAUAAAUUGGCCAAGGGCAAGAUUGUAAAAUUGCAAGAAGGGCAAAAUGGGAAUUUAAAAAAUGGCAUAGGGGCAAAGAAGUAAAAAGGCACGCCGCGGCACAUCAGGCGUGUGCCAAGCACGGGCCUGCUUCCUCGGCGAGCGCAUGGCUUGCAUACGUGCCAUCCGCCACACAGGCACGUGCAUUCCUAGCAACGGCUAGGGCAGUUCGGCGCACGUGGGCACCACGCGCCAGCGGUUGGCGUGCACGCACACAGCGGUUGCGCACGCGUGACGGCGCGUGGCGCGUGGAUUCCAUGCACCUGCAACUGUAGCGCGCACAUGGAGCCCACGCACCUUCUUCCCCACACGACAGAGGCGUUUUCUUCGUCAUUUUUCGUUGUUCCACCACGGUUUCGCCGCGGUUUCUUCUUCGGCAGCCCAUCUUUGACACAACUAAAUAAUGGGUUUUGGAGAGCAUGCUGGCACGACCACAUAGGUCCAAGUUUCGGUGAAAAUGAGCAAGAAAUUAGCUCCAAAUCAAAAGAAAAUUUCCCAAAACACAAAUCCUCAACCACCGUGACUUCCGCCGCCCAAUUAGCCUCCAGCGAACACCGAUAUACUGGAAAAACUUAUGGCUAAUGUUCCUCAUGGCAGUGCGACUGUACGGGUCCGAAAUUGAGGGGUGGGUCACCGGAAUUUGCCCAAAAUCGGCGAGUUUCUUUCUCGGCCUUAAAAUUCCGAAUUACUGUUCAUUUUCAAAAAUGCCCGAAAAUACACCAAAAAUUCGACAAAAACAAAGUAGAAACACUAAACAUACUCUGAUACCAAAUGUAAGACAUAAAAAUCAAAUGUGAAAGCUAGGAUCAAUUAUAGACAAACCUCCAGCCAUUGUUCUUGUUCUCGUUCCUCGAAAAAUCCUGAAAAUCAAAGAAAUAUUGGGCACACACUACUAACUCAAUUCGCUCACGUAUAUUGAUGGUGUAUUCCAAAUAAGAGAGUUUGUGUUAGACCUUGUGAUCACCCGUCAGAAAUGAACGAUCGUUCCUUUUAUACACCGUCUCCCAUCAAGACAGUUACCAAAAUGGGCGGUUGUCACGAAAAGGUACAAAAUGUGGAAAAACUACAUGUCGAAUAACCGCCACUUUAAAGAGAAAAUAUGGUCUAAAAUGUGAAAUCACAAAAUAAAAAAUAACAUUUCCUUCCCUUCCCAGCUGCUGUUAAACAUCUAUCUUGCCAGACGUUUCUGCUAUGGAGGAUCAACUAAGCUGCCAUCUCAAGCCUCUGUUGCACGAGAUCGAACCUCAUGCAAGUUAGAGUGUAUCUACUGUCUAUGACUUGAGAAUUCCAUGUCAAUUAAACUGUACGAAUUCAUGCACAUUUGAUGAUUAGAAGCACGACUCUGUUUAAGCAUGGUACCCUAUAACUUCUCACCGCCAGACAUAAUAAUUUUUGCUCAAAUCUCUGCUAAACUCAAUUCAUUAGACUAUUCAAAACAAUAUUUCGAGCGAUCGGACUAGCAUGAAAUGAAAGAGAGAGCCAACUCAAAUGAUUGUCAUAGAGGAUGACACUUUAUGAAAGCAUGAACUUAUUCCACACGGAACAAAACAAUUUGUUCUGUCUUUCGCCAUAAAAACUGUUCAACUCUCAUUCAUAUGGAAAAUACAGCACUAUUACAUCAAGGCGGUCUACCUCCAACAUCAGCAUCAAAUAAAAACUGCAGAUAUAAGGGAACAUUAGAACUGUAACUCUCACUACAAACAUGGCCUCUAGCCUGAGUAGCUGCUACCCAGUUUUCUGAUGGAUUAGUUGCUCAACUGACCCAAAUCCACUGGACAUCUUCAAAGCUCGAGGCUUUCUGUCCUGCAUUGUUGUCGGUUAUAGAAAUCCUAUCGAGUCGCUACCUUUGAUCUUUUAUUAGAUCUUCAACAAGCUCUAAAUAGUUCGUGCCAAUACCCCUCCUCUCUUUUAUAAGGGAACAUUAGAACUGUAACUCUCACUACAAACUUAGUCUCUAGCCUGAGUAGCUGCUACCCAGUUUUCUAAUGGAUUAGUUCCUCAACUGACCCAAAUCCACUGGACAUCUUCAAAGCUCGAGGCUUUCUGUCCUGCAUUGUUGUCGAUUAUAGAAAUCCUAUCGAGUCGCUACCUUUGAUCUUUUAUUAGAUCUUCAACAAGCUCUAAAUAGUUCUUGCCAAUACCCCUCCUCUCUAUAGUUUUCGUUCCUUGCUCAUAUCUCCUCGCCGAGGCAUCCACACAAAGGUCUUCCGUUCGACGUGAUCUAAAUCUCUCAAACGACCUCCUCUCAUAUUAUCCUCGAUUGGUUGGCAGUCCCUAAUUUUACCUGUAUUAAUUGAUUUCAAAUCUUGCCUUUUCUCUCGAAUGUCAUGUCCUACGAAGCAUUCUCAAGGUGUCGUCGGCAUGAUCUCCAGUUUUGUCAAAUUAGAUCGAAGUUAAUGGAAGGAUUCAUUCCUCAGUACUCCAUGAUGUUCAAUUUUCCCGAGGUUUCGUUGAGUUCCUAUAAUUCCUAGACUUACACCCCAAGGUUUACGAAGUUUCCCUUCGAAGUUCAGGUUUCUGGUUAGCUACAGCAUGGGUUUCACCUACCAACAUUACAUAAUCUACAGAGAAAAUACACCAAUUGAAAUCGUCUUGAAUUUGUCUUGUCACCAUUGGGGCAAUGGAGGCACCUUCCCCCUUGAAGCUUCCAAUAAAUUAAAAUGGAAACUACCAUAAGUUGCAAUCAUUUUGCAAAUUUGCCCCACGAAAAUACAAGUGUGUACUUAUGAGUGUUGAUUCAACAUGGGAAGAAAGGAGAUUGCAAAAUAUUUAAGUCAUUCAUUUGAUUUUGCUAGAGUCUUUUCUAAUCAAUCAUAUCAGUAAGGCGUUUUGGGUGUUUAAGUUUUACUUACCAAAGAUGAGCUUUCUUGUCAUAGAAAAAGCAAGUGUCGGAAGAAUUAAUAAAAAGGAAAAUGUUGAAGAGUAAGGAUAUUGGUUAAAUUUCAUUAUUUGACAUCUUUUUUUCUCAGAGUUAAUACGAUACUUCUUUAAUUUUGAUCAAGUAAUUCAGGUAAUAAAGAUGUUAUAAGGGUCUUGUUAAUAAAAUACCUCAGAGGCACUAGUUAAAACUAGGGGUGAGCAUCGGUCCAAGGGCAACCUUGGACCAACCCUGGAUCGGCCCAACCCUGCCGGUCCUGGUUCGGUUCCCACGAAGACCGGGUCGGUCCUUGGUCCUAGAAUUCCUGGACCAGCACUGUGCGGGUCAGUUCUCAGUCCUGAGAGUUCCGGGUCGGUCCAAUCCUGACCAAUCCUAACUAUAUAUAUAAAAUAUAUUAUUUAUAAUUUUUUUAUAUAGAGAAAACUUUAAAAUAAAUAGCGUCAACAACAUUAAAUAGCUCUUUAUUGAGGAGUUCAAAUGAUUUUACAUUAUUCUUUAAUAACUUAGAUUUUUAAUGUCUUUUACAGUGUCAAUAAUCAUAAUUUAUGAAAGAGGAAAAUGUUUUUGUGAGGAGUCCUCAUGGCGUCCAAAAAUGCAUAAACAGCUCCUUAUGGCAUCCUCCUCUACUAUUCGUUUUCUUCUGUCUUAUUUGUCCUCUUAGUCUUCACUUUGCCAAAAUCGAAAGAAACAACUUUCCCACUGGCCACUUAACACUCACCUCGCUCGCUUUGGGUCAUUCGUGCCGUUCGCCGCUCGAUGUUCACUUGGCUUGUUGCUCCCCGCUCGACAUUCGAUGCUCAUUCUGUUCGAUGCUCACCCCACUUGACCCUCACCGCUUGCCUUUCUUAGUUGACCUUGCGCGUCAUCGAACCCAUUGGGUCGGUACGGUCCUCAGGUGCCCUUUCAAGGAGCACAAAAAAUGAAAUAAAAAAUUAUUGGUUGGUCCUGGGUUGACCUAGAAACCAGACCGAACCAAUUGGGUCAAUCCGGUCCUGAAUUGCUUUUUUAAGGACUACAAAAAAUGAAAUAAAAAAUUAUCGGUUGGUCCCGAGUUGACCCUGGAACCGAACCGAACCGAACCUAUUGGGUCGAUCCGGUCCUCGGUCCCAAGCUCAAUAGGGUUGGUCCUCAGUCCUAAAAAUUGAGGACCAGUACUAUGCGGGUUAGUCCUAGAGUUAGGAGGUGGACCGGCCCAACCCAGACCAUGCUCACCCCUAGUUAAAACCACUAAAAAUAAAGCGUAUCAGCAUAUGCUGAAAAUUGAGCAACCCUAAAUUUCGAAAAAAGCCACUUACUUCAAUUAUGCAAUUUUAUUUUUCCAAAGCAAAAUUAAUGAGGCCCAACAAGUACCCUAACUACAUUCUUUAACAUUUUCCUUUUUAUUAAUUAUUCUAACACUCGAUUUCUAUGAGAAAAUCUCAUCUUAAAUAAGUAAACCUUGAACCUCUAAAAUACCCCAUCAAUACUAAGGACUGAGUAAGAUGCGAACCCAAAUCUCCACAAUGGCAUUUUAGCCAUAAGAGUCCUUAUCAGGGGAUGAACAUUCUUUGUGCCUAUGAAAGUAUGUAGAUGGAAAUUCUACAUUCCCUUAGUGCCUUCUAAUCUUUAGCUAAAUGGGUCGAACAAUAACAUGACAUGCCAUCAACCUGAAAUUUGAACAUGUAAAGGAUUAGUGUCCAAACGGUACCCAUAAUAUCAACAUCGGUGUAAGGAUGAGAUCCCCUAUCAUCUUAUUAGUGUUUCCAUUUGAUGUCGUAUUCAUCCAAACCAUUAAUCCGCGCGAAUAAAAAGGAAGCGGAUCCUUUCCCAUCGGUGCAGGCAUCGCUUUGGCGAGUUCAAGUUAUUGAAGAUGGGCGGGAGUGCAAAAGACAAGAAAGAAAUAAGCAGUCAAUAAAUCAAUCUCGCGCUACCAGAAAAGGCAAGCUCUACAUAACGUGUGAAACCUCAUUUGAGGUUAGGUGGCAUUGCGCAGUCCUCGCAUUCCAUUGAGGAUGCAGCGGCGAUUUCCUAAAGGUUUACAAUAGGGAGAAGUAUUUAAAAAGUCAUAUUUUUUUUUAUAUCUGUAUCAAUUUAGUCCUAAACUAUUUUCUAGUGUUGAUUUAAUCCUAAACCUUUUUACUUUGUGCCAAUUCAGUCUUUUCCGGUCAAUUUUGGCUAGAUUUUGCUAAUUGAAUGCUAGUCGACUGAUGUGGCCUGAUUGGAGCUGACGUAGACAACUUUUAAUAAAAUUUUUAUUUUCUUUAUUUUCUUUUUCUUUUUUUCCUUCUCCUCCACCUUCCUCCAACCAGUUGACGGUCGAUGACCGGGUAGAGGCGACGGUCGGCGAGGUUGAGGUCAACCUCACUGGCCACCAUGGGUGAGGCUCGACCUCGCCAAAUCUGGCAAGAGCGAGCCUUGCCGCCAAGCACGAGGCCAACUCAAGGCUGCCCACCUCAUGCUGAGCUAGCGAGAUCGAGCCUCGCCCACGAAAGUGAGGCUAGACCCUUGCCUAAUCCGACAAGGGCGAGCCUCACCGCCCAAUGUGAGGCCAACUCGAGGCCGCCCAAGCCGCGAGGGUGAGCCUCGCCAGCCUAGCGUGAGGCCGGCCUGGGUGGCCUCGAGCUGGCCUGGAGCUAGGCAGCCAAGCUCGCCUUCGCCACCCAAGUUGACCUCACCCAUGGUUAGCGAGGCUCAACCCUUGCCAGCCCGGUGCAAGGCCACCCUUGUGGCCACUAGCGAGGUGGCUGGCGACCGACUGGAGGGAGGGGGAGAAGAAGAAAAACAUAAACAAAAAAUGAAUAAAAUAUAUUAAAAUAUUAUUAAAAAUUGUCCACGUCAGCACUGAUUGGGCCACGUCAGCCGACCAACGCCUAGUCAGCAAAAUCUGGCCAAAAUUGACUAGAAAUGACUGAAUUGGACUAAGUAAAAAGGUUUAGGACUAAAUUGGUACUAAAAAUGGUUUAGGAUUAAAUUGGAACAAAUACAAAAGAUUUAUGACUUUUUUAACACUUCUCCUGUUUACACUAUUAGUCAUGCUUAACAGAUAUGUAUAUUGGUUUUGACAUCAUUGGCUUGGUGAUUGCCUAGUUCUUUCGACUUCAUUUUAUUUAAAGUUCAAUGCUUUAACUAAAUUACAAUAGAAAAGUUGGAGCAUUGCGCCCACCCCUGGAUGAAACAUUAGCACACUCCCACGCUUAAUCACAAGCUUCCCACUUGAGAAAGUAGAGAUAAUGCUACAUAACAUAAUGGAUCUAAAAUUAGUAAAAUCAGCAGAAUUUGGUUUGGAGCUUUUGACUAAAUCAACAAAUGGUCAACUAUAAAAGUCUUCUCACAUCCGCACGUGUGUCUUUAUAGUUUCCCGAAAUAUCACCAUUUCACUUAUAGUGUCAAGAUGCAUGUGUAAGGAUAUCAUGUGAAAGAGACCUCUCAUUCAGAAUGUAAUGUAAGGUGGACAAGUCAAUAUUAUUCUAGUUGGUUCAUGAAUCAUUAAUUUCAAAUUCUAAGUGAAGGUGAGUUAUUGUUGAGCUUGGGUUUAAGCUUGAACCUAGCAGUCUCCCUAGGUAAAGGUUUUGGCCUUCUGUUGCACCACUUUGCCGAUUAUCUCAAUGAAGUGGGCCCAACAUGUGUGAAUUGAUGUGUGGUGAAUAUCUCAAGGAAAGAAACCUCAUGUGACUCCUAAUCAAGAUGACCAACAGUGUGAUCUGCUGAGGUUGGCCAAACCAAGGCAAUGGAGGAGUCAAGGCAAAUUUUGUGUUCCUACUGAGUUGGGCCGAGGUAGAGAUUUGAAAUGAUGCUGGUGUGGUAUUAAAGGGAGCAAGCUUAAUAUAGAUGGCCCACACAUGAAGUAUAGAUUUGUUGAGGUGCACGUGUGAGGGUGUUAUGAGGAAGAAGUCCCACAUUAGGGAGCGAUGUAAAGUGGAGAUGUUGUUGAUAUAAUCUUAGUAGGUCCAACUAAAUGUGUUCACGGACUCAAACUUAACAUCUCCCUAAGUGAAUAUAUCAAGCUUCCGCUAUGUCUCCCGACAGUUAGAAUCUUUUCAUGCAAAGCAUAUAUAUGUCAUGUUAAAGCAAUGUGUAUGUGUUUCUAUAAAUAUAAAUAUAUUUAAUACAAAUUCAAACACAGAAAAUCUUCACAGAUGUGUCAUUGCAUCCAACGAACUGAAGAUAGGGAUUUACAUAAACAGAUCAAAUUCAGCACCAAAUAAUUUUUUUAUCAAAUCAUUCUUAAAGCCAGUAUAUCACAUUCCACGCUAUUUACCUUUCCAACGUUGCGGAAGCAGGCAGGAAUGUUCUUUAAUCCCGCGUGUUUGGGUCACUGUUUUGCUUUUUCCAACAUGCAGAUGCUUUUACAACAGUAAUGUUUUAGCUUGGAUGUAAUUAGCAAUCUCAGCCUUUAACAUUUCAACUCCCGGACGACAUAUGUUGUUUCCGGGGGCAUUCCUUAAAUGAUCCAAGAUACCUGAGCCAUUGGGCUCGGACUCCCGUGCUUUUAUUUUUGUUAAGUGCUAUGAUCUCCUUUCUACCCCAAAACAGAAAAUAAUGAAACGACCUAGAUAAAUUUAUUAAACAGUUGAUGAUUUGUCAAAUCUUGGAUCUUUGCAUUCCCAUUUUACAAUUUAAUAGCGGUCUCAUGAAGCCUUACGGAUGUUAGUCAAGCUUAACAGAUAAAUAAACUAGGUGUAUAUUAUGGGUGUACAUUAUUGGUGGGAAAAUUGUUCCGAAAGUCUUAAAUUUAUUGCACUUUUGUAAUUUAAUCAUAAACUUUUCAAUUUUGUCAAUUCAGUUCUAAACAUUUUCAUAUUUUGCCAAUUUAGUCCUAAAUAUUUUCAUUUCUUAUCAAUUAAGUCCAUCCAUCUAGUUUUGGCUAGAAAUUGCUGACUUGGAUGGCCGGCAUUGAUGUGACGAUUUUUUAAUAAUAUUUUGAAUUUUAUAUGGUUUUUCUCUUCUUCUUUUUGGUACUCUUUUUAUUUUUAUUUUUUUGAGCUAGGGUCAGCCAGGUUACCGGCAGACCUUCGCCGGCCACAGGACAAAUUUUAAAGAAUGGAGGGUAGGACGGAGGGUUUGAGAAUAAAAAAGAGGCUAGACCAGAGAAAUUAUGGCAAGGAAAGUUGUAAAUAAUGGCGGAUAUAACAAAGGGUUUUCACCACCAAUGAUUUGUCUUUUUAUUUUUAUGUUGGUCCCUUUCGUGGACAAUUACAAGAAAAUUUGUAAAGAAGGACGAACGCACGGGAGGUCAAGAAAUUUUGAUAAGUAACCAGAGAAGGUGCCUCCAUGUUUCCACCGCCGUUGCUUUGUCGUUUUUCUCCAUGUUUCAUGCGCUCGAACACUGUUUCGACUGACAUGCACAUUUUGUCAAGCACCUGGCCGGCCCUGUCACGCUUCCCGACAAGUGGUAUCAAACCAAUGCUUUAAACAAGUUGGGCCCAAAAUAUGUGCAUUGUAGUCGGGUGAAUGUUUCGAGGAAAGAAAUCCAAUGCGACUUCCAAUCGAGGUGGUGGUAGAUAGUGUUUUCCUGUUGAGCUUCGCAUUGAGGAGUCAAGGCAAAAGUUGUACUUCUGCCAAACUUGGUUGGGCCAAGGUGGAGAUUUGAGUUGAGAUAAUAUCAGUGUGAAAGAAUACCUAGAUUAAAGAAGAACAAGACUGACAUAAAAAGCUCAUACAUAGGGGAAAGAUUUGUCGAGGUGCGCAUGCGAGAUUGUAAUGCAAAAGAAGUCCCACAUUGGUGAUGUGGUGUAAAGUAAAGCAGCCAAUAUUAUUCAAGAGGGUUCAAUCAGAUAUACCGAAGGAUUCAGAUUACAACUUUCCCUCGGUGAUCUCCAUUAGUAAAAAUAUCAUACUUUCACUGUGCCUUCCAACAAUUAGAAGGGUAUAUCUUUGAUAAGCAACGUAUGGACAGCAUCAAAUAACAAUAUAUCACAUUAACAAUUUCGUUGUUCACAUCAUUCUUAAAGCAAGUACAUCACAUUCAAUUUUAGUGGUAAAAAAAACCCCGGUCCACAUGUCAUUUCUACGUGACAUGUUUGACACUGAAGUGAUUAUUUUGAAUAAAUUUUGACACUCAAACAAUUACUUUAAACAAAAUUUGGCACUUAAAUUAUCACUAUUUACAACCUUUUGACGACGUCAUUUGAGGGUUAUAUACUGACUAGGCACGCUAGCGAACCACGUAAGACUGAGAAAUUAAUAAAAUAUGACCACGUUGGAUUUUCAACGAUCCAAACUAGAGUUAGCACUUAAAUGAUCGUCUUUUUUAAAAAGCGGCACUGAAGUAAUCCGAAGAAAGAAAAAAUGGCACUAAAAUGAGCGUUGUAUAUAACUUUUGAGAUUUUUAGCGUACUUAUCCCCAUGUUUGUAUCACCGUUCUGCUCUUGCCAAUAUGUAAAUGCUUAUAUAAGACUCAUGUUUUAGCAUCUUAUAUAUAGUUAACAAUCUCAACCUCUAACAUUCCAACUCCAAGAGAAGUCUAGUGAAAGAAAAAGAGAGAUCGUGUACCUCACGAGAGGAGCAGAAUCACUUCAAGUGAUUAACCCGAGCGAUUUUGAGUUCACCCACAAGCUGGGAACAAUGCCAUCGAUUGCAAGCCCGAGAAGAAGGUCGCUGUCUCUGCCAUCACAUCAACAAGCUUCCUUAGCAUUUGAAAGAAGACACCAAGAGAGGAGGCUCUAUGAAGCGUCGCUUGGCGGGUGCACCGAGUCGUUAGCUCAGUUGCUGCAAGAAGACCGACUCAUCCUGGCUCGGGCUUCGGUUACUUGCUUUGAUGAGACACCAUUGCAUGUGGCCUGCAUGCUCGGUCAUGUACACUUUGCCAAGGCUCUUUUGGCUCAUAAAAAGGAUUUGGCUAUGGAGUUGGACUCGCAGGUAAGUCAAAGCGAAAACCUUGGUUGUGUUUGUUUGAUAUCCUUUUGUCAGAUCAAACUGCACCCAGUCAUCCUAGCGAACCGGAUAAUCGAUGGAACGGCAACUGUUUUGAUUCGGUUUUUGCAAGCUCUAGGCUUUUAGCCAUGUGCAACAUAAUUUAUUGACUAUAGUUCGAUGGAAUAUCUCUACAUAGAUCAGACAAUCUUGCUUGUCAAAUAAGACUUUGUAAAUGUACUAUCGCAUUUUGUUUUCCUGUUUCCAUGAUCUGUGAGAAAUCAAACCCAUCAUAUAUGACAAGGAAAUUAACAAAAUUCAGACAGAAAUCAAGUCAUAGAUUUCCAAAUUAAUUCAGCCUAAAAGAUCUUACAGACACCAGUGAAUUUGAGUAGCUCGGUCUGACAUAUAUAUAAAUAUAUAUAAUACAAUAUAUAAUAUAUAAUGUGAACAUCUCCCUCAAUAAGAAUGCUCCUAGCUAAGCACCUUUUUUCGCAGGGACGUACACCUCUUCACUUGGCAUUUGUGAAUGGAUACGUAGAAAUAGUGAGCGAAUUGUUACAAUCGGAACCCCUUGCAUGCCUUGUCCAUGACGAAGAUGGGAGGACCCCACUUCAUCUGGCCAUGAUGAAGGGCCGAAUUAACAUCGUGAUAGAGUUGGUCAAGGUGAGACCGAAGGCGGCCGAGUACAGGCUAAGCCACGGUGAAACCGCUCUCCAUCUGGGAGUAAAGCAUAAUCGUUUGGAGACUCUGAAAGUUCUGGUGGAGAUGGUGACGGAUGGGGAUUUGGUGAAUGCUCAAGAUGAUGAGGGUAAUACCAUUUUGCAUUUGGCCGCUACAAACAAGCAAAUGGAGGUAACCCUUUUUGCUUUGAAUUGCUUCGAAAUUGCAAUGAUGUCAAACAUCGCAUUCCAAUUGAACAUUUUGUGAAGAUAAAAUUUGGCUCUUUCUCAUUUUUCUGUAGACUCAAGCUUUCUACAUUCGAACUUCAGUGGAUAUAUCGAUUGAACAAACUUACAAGAAAUAUCUUUGUCUCUUGUUUCUUUUAUAAUUUACAAGAAGCCCAUCUUUUUGUACAGACAGUGAAACAUCUGCUUCAAAGAAGUGAAGUGGAUGUGAACACUGUAACGACUGGGGCCCCACUGUGUAAUAUUGUCCGCUUUGAACACUGAGUCCUCAUGGACUUAAAACGCGUCACACAGGUUAAAGGGACCCAAGCCUUAUAAACUAGCCCAGGACUCCCCCCUAAGCGAUGUGGGACUAGAGAGGACCCCUCCCCUUCCUUGGCUGUCAAGCUCUCCACCCCAAACUAGCCCAGGACUCCCCCCUAAGCGAUGUGGGACUAGAGAGGACCCCUCCCCUUCCUUGGCUGUCAAGCUCUCCACCCCUUAAGAGCACAGUGUCCUCGCUGUGACCCCCACACGCGGUCGGGAGUCGGCUCUGAUACCAUUUGUAACGAUCCGGGCCCCACUGUGUAAUAUUGUCCGCUUUGGACACUGAGUCCUCACGGCUUUAAAAUGCGUCACACAGGUUAAAGGGACCCUAAGCUUUAUAAACUAGCCCAAGACUCCUCCCCUAAGCGAUGUGGGACUAGAGAGGACCUCUCCCCUUCCUUGGGCUGUCACAAACAUAGUGAACAGAAAUGGCUUCUCUGCUCUGGAUAUAGUGGAACAUUUUCCAAAGGAUUUCAAAGUCACCGAAUUGAGAGAACUAUUAGUACAUGCUGGAGCUUUGCGAGCCGUAAGAUUUUAUGCAUCAACAACUCACCAAGCAGUUGUUGAUAACACAAAUGAGAAGAAUUCAACUGUUGAAGUUGACAUCACAUCGUAGCACCUCCUCUGGGUAAGGCAGCUCCGCCACCGUCUUUCUUGGGUGAAAUUAGGAAGCAAAAGGAAGACAAACACGAGAAAUGGAUCAAGAAGAAGCGUGAUUCUCUGAUGGUAAUGCUUUAACUAGAUAUCUUGGAGUAGCAUUUGCUGAUAAGUUAGAUCAGAUUAGUCAUGUUAUUGCAAUUAACACCAUAGCUCACAGUUGGUUAAUUUAAACUCUCUAUUUGUUUCCUAAAACAUGGAUGAUUCAGAAAAUGCUUUUUCCUAAAAAUGAUCAUUUAUAUCGCUUAAAAUAAAUAAUUAUGCUUUCUCAAAAAUGUUUUCUACACAUGUAGUACAUGUGCUCAUAAUUAAAUAGUUAUGUACGUAAAGAAGGCGAGCAGUUAUAUUAAUAGAUGGCUUAUUAUUUAAAAAAAUGAGGGUAAUAUAAGAAAUCUAAUAUUGAUAAGAGAUUAAACGAGUGGAUGAUUAUUUAAGAAAUUAAUGGUAAUUUAGAAAUCUAAAUGUGAAGCAGUUGGGUGAUUUUCUUUAAAUAUCUGUGUUAAUACAUAAAGUAAAGAGGAUUUUUAUGCGACUCAAUCUUUUCUCUUCUCCAAAUAUUCUCAACUACUUAUUAGAUAUAUAUUGUAUCAANNNNNNNNNNNNNNNNNNNNNNNNNNNNNNNNNNNNNNNNNNNNNNNNNNNNNNNNNNNNNNNNNNNNNNNNNNNNNNNNNNNNNNNNNNNNNNNNNNNNNNNNNNNNNNNNNNNNNNNNNNNNNNNNNNNNNNNNNNNNNNNNNNNNNNNNNNNNNNNNNNNNNNNNNNNNNNNNNNNNNNNNNNNNNNNNNUCUCUAUUUAUGUAGAGAGCUCGCCACAAUUUCCUUGUAUUUCGAUGAAUAUAGGAAAAGCCAUCAAUUGAAUUUGUGUAUUUGUUGAAAUGACUAACUUUGACUCGAUGAUCUUCAUAUUUUCAAAUAUAGGUGAAACACUAUUUCUUCAUUCGCAAGUUUAAAACUUUCUUUCACGUCACGACAGAUAACUGCCACCGUGAUCGCAGCCAUGGCUUACCAAGCAGGCCUUAGCCCUACCGGCGGCUUGUGGAACGACAAUCAGAAAGCAAAAGACGACACCAUCUUAUACUACGCAGGAAAAUCGAUAAUGGCUGCAAACCAUCCAGAGGGUUUACCACGGUUCUGGAUAUGCAACACCGUCUCUUUUCUUGCAUCCCUUAGCACGAUCUUGUUGCUCAUGAGUGGCUUGCCCUUGGGGAAGAAGGUUCUGAUGUGGAUUCUGGCGGCCACAAUGUGGGUGACCAUCACUUUCAUGGCGCUGACUUACCUCUAUUCCAUGACGGCCAUCUCGUUCGUACAGAGGGAUCCUGAACAUGUGAGGCCGACCACAGAGGUUUGGUAAUCCGAAGAUAGGGGGACGAUCAUGGUGAUUACGUACUCCUUGAUUGUUUGGCUCGGCAUUGUAGCCAUUGUUUUUUAAGUUCACACCGUUCGAUUCCUCACGAUCAUCCUCCAGAAUGCGAAGAAAAAUUCGCAAAAGCUCAAGAAGUGGAUAUCGGCGUGUGUGAGUUGGUGCAGAUCUAGGGGCAACAUCAAGAUCUAGUGUAUUCAUCUGGUGGGACAAAGGAUUACUGCAUAGUCUUGAUGCCUGUGUUCUUUCUAACUUAAUCCCUAUGUCAUAAGAUCAUUCUGAGUACUGCUAGUUGUGCAACGAUUUAAUGAGACUACUAAACCAAACGCAGGGUCCAUCUUGCAUUAUUCUCGAGCUCUCCUCAUUAGAGAUGUCUCGCCCUAAUAGCCGAAUCUUUCUAAAGAGAAUGGGAAGGCCUGGCUAAAAGUAAUCUGAUCUACUCCUAUGUAUGCCGCAAAUUAGUAGUAAAGCACACUGGGCCAUUCUAUGAUUUGUCUCGCACAGCUUCACCAUUCUCUUUCCAAUCACACCAAACAACCGAACCCACCUUCCUCAAAAGCAUCCGCACUUCUUUUAUGCUUCCUUCAUAUUCUUCUCCAUUGCUGAUAGAUGUCCAAAAGCCAUCUGAUCAAAGCUAGUGAGCCUCUCUGUCUGAUCAAUUUCAACCCCAUGGCACCAAACCAUAAUGCAGUCGCACCAUUUUCAUUAACUUCCUACACUAUUUCCUGCCUAAUUUUAAGGAAGUGAUACACUGAAUUUAGAGAAAAUACUCCAUGAUUAUUCGCAGGCCGUGCAAGCUGAUCCUCCCUCAAAGGUCGGAAUCGAAGCAGUGCUAGUUUCAUAUGUAAUGUUCACAUACCAGAACGUGUGCUUCUUCCAAAACAACAUUCAAACUCUGAUAUUAUGACUUCUUGCCGAACAAUCUUUUCAUCUUUAUAUAGACAAGUAGAGGAGGGACAAGGUAGAAACGGAACCCAAAAUCUCAUGGACCGAUCUGUUGUUCCUUAUCACAAGACAAAGGAUUGGUAGCGUAUCAUCCCAAACAAAACACAACAAAUUACUGUUCAUAUGCAAACUGAUUACAGGGGAUGGAAGAACAGAGAGAUGAAAACAAUUGCAUAGACAGAUCUUUUGUCCCUUAGACUGGUGAUAAUCAGUCCAUAACAAUUGGGAAGGUAAGAGAGUUCUCAAAGGCAGGAGCCAGCACUUUCAUCUGUCUUAGACAACCACAUUGUGUGGUUUCGAUCAGCAAGCCCACAACUAAGGCAGCUCAUAAACUUCCCUCAACCCAGCUUGGCAAACCAAGCCUCUUUCAAGAAGUUCCGUUUCACAACCCCAACUUAACGCAACCUGACGGUUUCGUUUGGGAGAAUAAUAUUGGGAUUGCGUAUGUGUGGGUUAAGAGCCGCCAAUUCCUUCCAUUUAGCACCAGUUCCAUGAACACGGGAUGAGAUGCUCCACAAUGUGUCACCAGGCUGUGCCUUAGUUGUUGCUGGGGCAGUAGAUUUAGAAGAAGCAGUCUUCGACUUCAGGAACGGAUGCUUAUUGCUCUUUCCCAUUCCAUUAGCGAGCAACCAACGGGAACCAGAUUGUUGCUGGUUUGAACUUCCCCAGACCUUUCUCUUCCCAGGAUCAAAUAUGUUUAAUUAAUUCUAGAUUAUAAUUAUUUUACGCAUGGUUGUGAUACCCAUGCCGUGCAUCUACGACGACAUGGGAUUUAUAGAUUUUAAAUGAGAUGAGAGCUUAGAAGAGUUUAAGAUUAAACCAUCAUCUUCUAAUAAUUUAGAUAUGUCAAAAUGGGACAUAGACUCAAUUUUUAACCAUAUUUGAUGGGUUGAGUUAUUAUAUGAACUAGUUAUAUUCACUAUGGGUUCAGAAUGGUAAAACUUAUAAUAAUAUAAGUGUUAAAUAGAUUCACAACUUAUUUAGAUCUAUUUCAUCUCUAUGACCUUUCUCUUCAUUCUCUCGUCCUCACUUGAUCUCACGCUCGCUCACUCUUUACUCUCACUUCAGUUUGUGUAUGAUUUUUUUUUUAAAUUGAUUAAAUAUAAAAGUGUUUUAGCAAUACAUGUUGUGUUGUUCAUAGGUCACUAGAUUGUAUUACACGAAAAUAUGUCAAAAUAUGUUAAAUAAAUCAAUUUAAAUUGGAUCAUUUUUUACCCUACUCAUUAUUUUGAUGGGUCUGUAAUAAUUUAAGGUUUUGCAUGGUUCACAUGCAAUGUUUAACUAAUUGUGGAUUAAAGUCGAUUUUACGCAUGGUUUACACAUGCCGUGCGUCCACAAUGACGUGAGAUCUACAAAAAUUUAUAAACAGGGUGAGAGGAGUUAUAGAAGAAGUUAAGGAUUAAACCGUUCGUCUUGGAUUAUUUGUUCGUACGUAAACGAAAAUGGCCAAGUUGUAAGGUCAACGCGAUCUUGCGGAAACACGGGAAAAGGUCGAGACCGUUGACCGGGUAACGAAACCGCGCCCCCGCUUCGUUUUUUAACCGCCGGAGGGGAUCGUACGACAGCCAGCGAGACCAAACCCGCGCAUGGCCCCACUCGCUGAGCAGUCCCCCUAAGUUGAAAUAAUAGAAAUAUUAUUUUACUAAUAAUAUUAAAUCUUUAAUUAAAUAUUUUUGUGAACAAUAAAAAUACAUUUUAAUUUAUUCAUUUUUAUAAAUGAAACGAAUAAUUAUUUUUAAGAAAAUAUUUUUCAAACUGUCCAUUUUCUACGAAAUAAUUAGGAAGCUAAAUACAUUAUGUCAAAUCCCCAUAUAUGCAAACGCCCGAGGUCUCAAGUUUGUCCGAGCAUAUCGUGCUUCUAGAGAUGACGGCAAGCUGCAGCGCAGCUCAAAGGUGGGACAAUUUGCCAUUGGCAAGAACAGGGGCAAGCACGAAAGUUGGGUUCGGAGGUGGCUGUACAUAGAGAAGGAUGGAGGGAACCAAAAAAAAAAAAGUUGGCCCUAAUUAGGGUUUCGUAAUAUUUCAGAUUGAAUGCGGUUGCGAUUAGAGUUAAGUGGACACAUGUCGCAAUCUCAAUUCGAAGACUUCGAGCGUAUGCACAGUAGGAGGCAGCAAAUCUCCGAUCCGCCUACAACUCGCAAACUCGCAGCAACCGGUUGGCACGCCGUCGACUUUGACGACGUGUUCUUUACGGGAGUCGCUGGGAAUCUCUUUUGCUUUCGGCAGAUCCGCACAGCUAAUCGCGAGCUUAAAAUAUAAUAGAAGGUACGAGUCCCAUGCAUUGGUUUAUAUAAAAGAGUAAAACCCAUGCAAGUGAAAAGCACUUCUCCCAAUCGAUUCACACGUCUUUGCUCGUUCACGUGCAAAAAGGGGUGUGCCCGCCCUCCUUUUCGAUCCGAGUCUUGCGGGAUAAGAUGACAUUCUCGAGAAACGCAUACAAUAUUAUCCAAAUAAUAAUUUAUUUAUUUUUUUGGGUUGAACGCGUGGAAUAUAACGAGGCAAUAUUUUAAAAGGGUAAAAAAGAAAUACAACCUUUUUUUUUUAAUAUUAUGAUCUCAAGAAGGUCAUUUGUGUUUUAAAUUUGAAAUUAUAUCCUAAAAGUACGGAAUUAUAAAAGGAAACUUACUUAUUUAGUAUUCACUUUAAUAGAAAACUUCAUUACUACUUCAAGCAAUUGACUUGAUUGUAAGAAUUUCUUCCACACCAUGUGAAUAGUGCAUAUAAACCGAUUAAACAUAACCAAAGUUAAGUAAUCGUAAAGAAGAUAUACUUUUCCUAUUUCCCUAUAUAUGGUCUACUAAAGCUAUAUUUGGGAAAAGUGCCAAAAAAGUCCUAAACCUUUUGCCUUUGUACCGAUUUAGUCCUAAACCUUUUUUUUGUGCCAAUUCAGUCCGACCAUCACAUACAUUCUUAUUCUUUUCACCUAUUCUUUCCAAGGACUAAAUCAAUAGAAGAACACAGAACUUUGAUCUUCUUGCAUUUGCAUGUGGAUUCUCGUUCCCUUAUCCUCUUUCAUCAAUUUAUGUACCUUCAGUGACGGAAUGAAAGACUACAGGUACAGUUCAGAGUCUGAUCUGCCAGGAGAUUUAUUCAAAGAUAAUCUCAUGAAUUUAGUGCACAGCUUUGUGCUUAAGUAGCUAAGCUUUUAUCUCUCCCCGACAGGUCGGUUACUCCAGUUUGUAUUCUGCAGGGAGUGUUCAUCGAUGUCGGUCAUAUCGCCUCUAUAGAAAACAAUCACAAACCCGUUAGACACUGCCAAGAAAGGCCAGACGAUGGCCAUUAGGAUACGCUGUUUUCUAUCUUUGUAGUAUUGGUUUGUGGUUAUUCAAGGAAGACAUUCUUACCUGAUUGGAUGCUGCUCUUCUUUCCAGAUUGUCGGCCCGAAUGCAGAAUAGCCAGGGAAAGAUAUCCGGCAGGCAUUUUGACUCAGAAGAGGAGCUUGUCAGUCACAUUUCGAAGAGGUUUCUAAGACGAAUACCGGGUAGAUAAAUCUUAAUUAAUUAGUAAUGGCUUCACAGUUCUUUAAGCUGAAUUUGAAACAUGACUACAUAACUUAGCUCCUAUAUAUGCAGGGUAGCUUGACUAUGGAAGAGUGGAAGCCGGAGGCUAAGCUGAAGACCCUCUUCAAAACCCACCGAAUCCAUCUGCCAACAGCCUGUGCACAGUACCAUCUUCUAAUGCAACUUCUCGAGUCUUUGUCAUCUACAACUACGUAGACCAAGAAGUCUCAAACUCAAAGAUUCUCGACCUUUUUCCAGUGAAGAAAAUCGACUGCUUUAGCACUGAACUUUCUCAUUGGAUUCAAGAGGAGCACGAUCCUCGUUGCUUACACACCAGAGAGCGUUUGCCACAUCUGAUGAGGCCCACAGCGACAUUGGUUAACGCCCAAUAAUCACGUCGAAGGGAAUGUUUAGAUGAAUAGUCAUCUUUAGACUCAUCUAAUCCUUUGACCAUGAGAAAGAGAGACUCAACUGCUCCACAAUGUUAC
rnacentral:lncRNA from 1 species